ACAUACUGAAUAGCUAAAGGAUGUAAUGAUUGAUUUCCAAAUUGAGAGAAUGAAUGAAAUAGUAAUCACAAGCUUACAAUCGGCAAGAAAGCCUCCAAAUUCUUCUUAGUUACAUGGAUAGCAUGCAUAUCUGCACUUCAGACGAACCAAGUUAUCAAGUUAUCAUUAAGAGAUCAAAAGUUCCACACGGCUGUGUGAUGGUCCCCGCCGCAUCUGAUCCCAUGGAUGCCAUCUCAUGCCACUCUUUAAAUGUUCUCAAAUCCAAAAGAGCGGUGAUCUAGUUUGGAAUUUAUGAGCGAACUAUGGGCUGGACCAAGUCAACUCGACUCACCUAAUGGCAUGUUCAUUACAUGCUAGGCCAAAAUUAUUCACUUUGCAUCAACUCCUACAAAGACAAAAGUGUCAAUCAAAGCUUGAAUGGUUUCAACUUUUCUACACUGUAUCCAGCAGUGAAAUCCUAAAGUGCAAAAAAAAAAAACUCGCUUUGAAUUGAGAUCAGUAUACGACCUAACACAUCAAAUCUCAAGAGUUUCAGUAGUCCGGAGCAUUAUUGAUAAAAAAAAAGGUGCUGAGAUUAGAGAGUUAGAAGAGGUUGGGUUGAUGAGUUGAUGUAGAGAGAAAUGCAGAUGCAUGUGCAAAGCUGGUCCCAUAUAAGCUGGGUUUGUUCCUAUGUUGAGUUACAUUCCUUAUUGCUGAUGGUGUUGCCCAUUUCUAAGCUAACACCUCAUUCCUACUGAUCUGACAUGGAUAUGAAUACAGCUACAUCUUUACUAAGCUUUCCACCCCAAUUCAUGGACCAAAUUUUUGAUCCCACAAAUUAUCAAAAAUGUAGUCUUUAUCAAGAUGGAACUCAUAUGCAAGAAUUGAACUUUAUUUCUGCAUACACAAAGCAAACUAGAACAAACACCAAAUACAGAAAGCAUUACAACAACCAAAAAAAAAAAAAACAGCAGUACCACACAAGAUGUUACAUGUUAUCAUGUUUUAUUGGCAAACAAGCACAUCAUAUUUUGGAUCAUGGAAAGAUGAAUGUCCCUUCCUUGUACGCUUGGUCAUUGCGCUCUUUCAUGAAGUCCAGCAGCAAAGAGGAGUAGGGUUGCUCAACAACUCCCUUGUACUCCUUCAACCACUGCAUGAAGCUGCUCUUCUCUAAGAAAAUCUCCGGCGACAAUGCAUAAUUCUUGAGGGAACCAUACACAUAGGCCUCAAACUUUUUCAAUUCUUGCAAUGCACAUUCUUUCUCUUCAAUUGAUCCGUUCUUCACCAGAUUGCAUAACAUGCGAGCUUCUUCAACGUGUGCCCAAAAACAAGAAUCCUCAUUCAAACUAGAUCCCACUGACUGUCUUUUCGAUUUGCUUGGGACUUCUUGAGGUUUGUCUACUUUCUUCAACCAUUCUUCCAACAGAAUAAAAUGUUUAGGCCUUUUCCCAUCAGUUUUGUAGCUCUUUCCACCAUCUUUGUAGUAGUCUGCAAUGUGAAGUGGCUCAACCAUCCUUCUGUAGUUGGUGCCUGCCCAUAGCCAACGAACCCGAAAAUGAGCUCCUUCUAACUGGGGCUUGUUUUCUACUUCUGUGACAGAGUCCUCCCAAUAAUUCAUGAGUUUUUUCUUAAACUCAUUAACAUUUACGUCGCUUAUAUGCCCCUGGUUUCUGUACUUGUCAUAAUAUCCACCUACUUUGGGUUGUCUGGAUUCUUUCUUAUACCACUCCAAAAAGGCCAUGUGAACUUUCAUUUCAUUCAACUUCUUGUCCGAAUCCGAGUUCUUCUUCUUCUGAAUUAAUAACUUUGUUUCAUGCUUCUUCAUCCUUACAAUCAGACUGUCAAUCUCCUUACUUGGCUGUUGCUGUUGCAAUGAUUCAAUUUAGAUAUAAGGUCCUACAUAUAAUGUGAGGAACGAGCAGCAAGCAAACUGUUUAGUCAUAUAAUCAAUAAGUGUAAAUUUAGCUACCUGCGAGAGAAUUCCAAUGGCUUGAAGUUGUGUGAUAAGGCAUGCUUGAAGUGAAGAAUCUAAUUUAGCUUCAAUAGACUUGGAAAAAUUACACAAUGCCUUGCACUUGAGAUCACUCAAAAUGUUUCCAUAAUGGCACUCUUGAUUUUGGGCGUGGGUUUUCACCAACUGUUCCAAAAUGAUAUCCGGAUCCUCAAGACAAGCACAACCUAAAGCCGAGCAUAGUAGGAAUGUCCCAAAUGGCUUGUAAGCACCAGGAUUACGCGAUAUAAAUAGUUGAGGUGUAGGGUCUUGGUUAGAGACAAUAUGCAAGAAGCAGGACUUCCAUGUUGAGAACUUUAACACACAUUGUCGGAGUUGUUCAUCUCCAACAAGAGGAGAACCAAAAGUAACGCAAAGGGGGCGUUUGACUUUCGACAAGUUGAGGCCUUGUAGCAGCCACAGUGUGAAGAGUGUAGCCACACUACCUCCCACAGAUUGUCCAGUGAUGAUUACUAAUGAAGGGGUUUUGCUCUUGCUAUUCUCUACCAACUGAAACAUUAUAAGAAGUUACAAGCUAAGCUAGUGAUAAUGAUCGAUAAUGACGAGGUGCAAACAAGUCAUGUGUAAUCUUACAGAAACUAAUUAAAUCUAAUUAUCAUAACUAAUUUACUUGUUAGCUUCUUAUAACUAACCUUCUCUUUCAGCUGAAGUAGCUCAUCGUAUUGUGACUUAAAAAGUUGGAUUGCUGCUUGGUUGAGGGAGAAAUUUGGGUUGGUUUUGUUGCACAGAAACUCAAAGUGAGCAAAGUUGUCUUCUUUCAGGCUUGAUGAUGAAACCAAAGCUUCUUGUCCUUGCAGAGAGCUAGGUGGAGUUCCAAAAGCUAUGAUGGUAGGAUUUUCUGGUUGGAUUUCAUUAAACAAACAUGGCUCUGCAUUCGGAUUGAUCUGUUUCUGUUUCUCGAUUGCGUUCCAAGCCUGGUGAACCGGAUCAGAGGUCAAGAGAAAGUUCGCCGAUUCCAAACCGCUGCUGAAUCUAGCAUCAUCAAGAACCAAAGUCAACGCAAGUAAACAAAACAGAAUCACAAAAAACCAGGGAUGAACAGGAGGUGGACUCUACUUACUGGUUGCUGGUCAUCUUCAAGCUCCUUUCUCUUCAAUUUACUUUGAAACCCAAGGAUCGUAAGUUAAAUUUUGUAACAAGAACAGAUGGCUGUCAUUUAAAGGGGAUCAAAUGCUCUGCUACUUUUCUUCCCCACCAACCAGGAACUUGCUCGAAAUUCACCAAGUCUUCGUCCAGACCCAAAAAUAAUAAACAAAGUCUUCGUCUUUUGUCCAAAGACACGUCAAGAAAAUUACUUGGAAAACGUUUGCCUGUUGCUAAGAAGAAGAGGGAAAGAGGACGUCUACAUUUCUGAGUUAUGCUAUUGAACUUCCCCGGUAAUAUUGUCACGGGAUGAGAACUUCGCUCCUCUACCAACCGUGCGGCCUUAGAGUUGUUCACCUCCUUGAACUCUCUAAGUCAGUCUCGUCUUCAGGCAACGGAAACAAGAGCAACACAAGAGAACAAGAAUGCUAGAAGUAGACUAAGUGUGCAAGACUAAGCAAAGUAAACACUUAGACAAUGUGGGAGAAAUGAACUUUGUAUUAAGUUAUGAACACUUACAAGACUUUCCAAGAUGGUUUGGCAAAGAGCCUUCACCACCUAUUUAUAGCCUAGCACCUCCUUAAUGGAUGGCUAGGAUUCAUUUGAUCCUAUGGCUAUAAUUACAUGUUCUAAAAUAUACAUGAAGUAUCUACAAGAAAAUACCUAAGCUAGGGAAUUCUAAAGUGUCCUAGAAUUCUCUAGAUAGAUCCACCAUGUUCUUGAAUGUUGAAGUGCCUCCCCUUCCAUGAUGGACUUGGGCUUGUGUCAUGGACUUGCUUCACUCAAACUUGGUCCAUGACAUUCUCCCUCACUCAAGUCGGCGACGUCCUCGUUGCCCUUGCGAUCUCCUCUUGCUCGAACUCGGCAAUCUUGUCCUUGAAUUGCCACAAGGACUCCUCUUUCUCCCAACUAGCCUCGGACACGGGCAACCCCUUCCAUUUGACAAAGUAUUCGGUAUACCUUGGUACCCGCUUCUUCCGCACCUCGCGCUUGGCCUCAAUGCUAUCAACUUCUUUGUCAAAUGAAGUGAUCAUAUAAGCGGGAGCUCGAUGAGUCUUACCUCGUUCGGGUGCUUCAGCAUCUUCAUGAUAAGGCUUCAAGUGACUUACAUGAAACACCGGAUGAAGCUUGGUGUUAAAAGGUAGUUCCACUAGAUAUGCCGCUUUGCCUACCUUCUUGAGGAUCGGAAAGAGACCUUCAUACUUCCGUAGAAAACUCUUGUGAAGUCCCUUGUUCGCCUUGUGUUGUGUUGGAAUAACCUUCACGAACACUAAGUCGCCGGUUUAGAACUCCAAGUGUCGCCUUUGCCGGUCCGCAUACUUCUUCAUCUUCUUUGAAGCCUUCUCUAAUUGCGAACGAGCGAGCUCAUUGGCUUGUUGCCACUCCUUGGCUGUUUUAUAUGCAGCGGGGCUACUUCCCGUGUAGCCGGUCACCAACGUGCUUGGAGUCAAGGGUUGUUGUCCGGUUGCUAGCUCAAACGGACUUGCUCCCGUCGACUCGGACCGCUACAAGUUAUAAGAGAAUUGGGCGACAUCAAGCAACUUUGCCCAAUCCUUUUGGUUGGCACUCACGUAAUGCCUUAAGUAUAGCUCCAACAAUGCAUUCACGCGCUCCGUUUGCCCAUCGGUUUGCGGAUGAAAGGCCGUGGAGAAGUUUAACUUUGCCCCAAGUAACUUGAAGAGUUCCCUCCAAAACCUUCCGGUGAAUCGAGCAUCUCGAUCGCUAACUAUGCUCCUUGGAACUCCCCAAUACUUCACCACAUGCUUGAGAAAUAGGCAUGCCGCUAUCUCCGCGGUACACUCCACGGGUGCCGGGAUGAAUGUGGCAUACUUGGUGAAUCGAUCUACCACAACAAAGAUGGAUCCACAACCAUCGAACUUGGGUAGAUUUGUCACAUCCCGGGACCCGCUCCGCCGUAACACGAUAUUGUCCGCUUUGGGCCCCCGACCCUCACGGUUUUGUUUCCGGCAGCUCAGGAGCAGCUUCCCAGGAGGUCACCCAUCCUGGGAUUGCUCUAGCAUCAACAUGCUUAACCUCGGAGUACCCAUCCCCUCCGAAGCCGCUGAGCCACCAAAAGGCCUCGUGUUAGAUUGGAGGUGGGCAUGUACAUAUACAGCACAUAACCCCUCUCCGUUUGGCCGAUGUGGGAUAUUACAAUAUUGGUGAUGAAGUCCAUACUUAAACUUUCCCACGAUCUUGAUGGAAUGGGAAGGGGUUCCAACAACCCUCCCGGAUGCUUUUGCUCCACCUUGUCUUGUUGGCACACAAGGCAAGUCUUCACAUAUACAUCCACAUCGUCCCGCAUAUGUGGCCAAUAGUAGGUAUCGCUAAGCAAUGCCAACGUGCAAUGAGUGCCGGGGUGUCCCACCCACUUUGAGUCGUGGCAUUCUUUCAAUAUCUCCCUCCUCAAGUUGUCCCAUUUUGGAACAUAAAGCCGCUUCCCUGUUGUGUAAAGCAACUCGUCCUCAAGCCAAAAUCGCCUUGUCGUUCCACUCUUGACAAGCUCUACCAAGUUCUUGGCUUGAGAGUCAUGGGAUAGUCCCUCCUUGAUUCUUCCCAUGAGAUUGCUUUGAGGUGUAAGCACGACGAGUGCUAGCUCGGCUUUCCGGCUUAAGGCAUCCGCUACCACGUUCUCUUUGCCUUGCUUGUAUUCCAACUUAUAGUCGAACUCGGCAAGGAACUCUUGCCAUCUUGGUUGCUUCGGGGUAAGCUUUUGCUGCGUUUGAAAGUAGCUUGUGGCCACAUUGUCGGUUCAGAUUAUGAAAUGGGAACCAAGCAAGUAGUGCCUCCAAGUGCGCAAGCAAUGAACUACGGCCGUCAUCUCCUUCUCAUGCACCGAAUAUCGUCUCUCGGUGUCAUUGAGCUUGCGGCUUUCAAAGGCUAUCGGAUGUCCCUCUUGCAUAAGUACACCACCAAUGGCAAAGUCCGAUGCAUCGGUGUGUACCUCAAAUGGCUUGCUAAGGUCCGGCAGCCUUAGCACGGGUUCCUCCAUCAAAGCCUUCUUUAAGUCUUCAAAGGCUUAUUGGCAUCGAUCCGUCCACUCCCAUGUCUUGUUUUUCUUCAAAAGGUCCGUUAAGGGUGCCGCAAUGGCGGAGUAUCCCUUGAUAAACAUUCGAUAAUAAUUAACCAAGCCAAGGAAUGAUCGAAGUGCGGGUACCUUGGUUGGCGGCUCCCAAUCUUGGAUGGCCUUCACCUUGCUUUCCUCCAUCAAGAGCUUUCCAUCCUUGAUCUUGUGGCCUAGGAAGUCCACUUCCUCCUUGGCAAAGGAACAUUUCUCCUUCUUCACAUAGAGUUCGUUCUCCCUAAGGGUUUGGAACACUAUGCGAAGGUGCUCGACAUACUCCUCCAAGGUUUUGCUAUAGACCACAAUGUCAUCGAUAUAAACUACCACGAACUUAUCAAGGUAAGGAUUGAAUACCUUGUUCAUUAAGGUGUAAAAAGUUGCCGGGGCAUUGGUGAGACCGAAUGACAUGACUAAGAACUCGAACGAUCCGUAUCUUGUUACACAUGCGGUCUUCGGUUCAUCUCCGGGUGCAAUCCUUACUUGAUAGUAUCCUGAGCGAAGAUCUAGCUUGGUGAAAUAUCUUGCUCCUCCCAAUUGAUCGAAUAGGUCGGCAAUCAAAGGGAUGUGAUACUUGUUCUUGAUGGUGAUCUUGUUAAGCGCCCGGUAGUCGAUGCACAUCCUUAAUGAGCCUUCCUUCUUCCUUUGGAACAAGACGGGGGCACCGUAUGGGCUCUUGGACAGUUGAAUGUAGCCGGCAUCAAGCAACUCCUUAAGUUGCUUCCGGAGCUCCUCUAGCUCGGGUGGCGCCAUUCUAUAGGGAGACCUUGAUGGUGGCUUUGCUCCGGGUUCCAACUCGAUGGCAUGAUCCACCUCCCUCAUUGGUGGCAACCUCUUCGGCAACUCCUUGGGCAUUACAUCUCCAAACUCCUCAAGGAUUGCCUCUAUUGCUUUUGUCAAUGGUUCGGACUUUCCUCCAACCUCCUCAUCCAUCUUGAGGGUUGCUAGGAAUGUCGGCUCGCCCUUCUUCCAAGCUUUAGCGAGUUGCAUGGCGGAUAGAGCCUUUGUCUUCUCCCUUGCUUGCCUUGCCACGAGCACCACGCAAGACAAUUCUCUAUCCGCAACAAUGCAAAAGAUGUUAUAGAAUGGAAUGGAAAAUGCUCGUACAUUGUCCAUGAAUUCAAGGCCGAUUACCACGCCAGAGUCAUCCAUCUUGACCAUGGUGAAGUCGACUUUCCCCUUCCAAGCGUCAAUGUGAACCUCCACAUCGCGUGCUACCCAAACAAUAGGUGUGGCAGGUGUAUUCACUGUCUUCACACUGCCUGACUCCUUCGUGACUCGGAGGCCAAGUUUCCUUGCUUCUUCCGACGUCAUGAAGUUAUGAGUUGCUCCGCAAUCCACCAAGGCACGAAUCAUCGUGUCUUUUGCCUUGACAUCGAUGUAAAGCGAUCCACCUUCCGCUUGUCACCUUGGUUGAGGGAUGCUAGCCUUCACGGCAUUGAGCAGCCGGAUGCAUCCCAUCCUUGCUGCAUCAUCUUCCUCCGCCUCGAUCCUAUGCUCUUGCAAGGUCAUGGCUUUGAGUGCUUUCUUUUGAGGGCAAUCGCGCAUCAUGUGAGGGUCGUCGCAUAAGUAGCACUUCACUUCCCAAGUCUUGUUUGCGGACUUGUCGUGCUUCUCGAACCUCUUCACCUUCGGCUUGUAGCUUGACUCGGGCUUCUCCUUCGGCUAUGGCACAUCUCCCCCACUUUUCUCAUAGUUAACCUUCUUCCCCUUGAACUUGGUGUCGCCUUGGUAGCUAGUCUUGAAUUCAAUAAGGGACUCGGCAGCGGCAAUGGCUUGAGACAAAGUUUGCACUUGUCUUCUUUGCAACUCAAGCUUUGCCCAACUUUGUAAACCACUUAUGAAGUAGAUGAGCUUGUCCUCCUCCGUCAUGUUGGACACUUCGAAUAGUAAGUUAACAAAUGUAUUGACAUAGUCCUUGACGCUACUCGUUUGCUUUAGCCACCUAAGCUUCUCCUUGGCUUCAUAUUGAGCAUUUUGGGGAUAGAAAUGUAACUUGAUAUCAUUCUUGAAUUCUUUCCAAGUAUCAAGAGAGAACGUACCUUGCUCGAUUUCCAUGCUCCUUCGACGCCACCACAUAAGGGCAUUGUCGGCUAGGAACAUGGUAGCCGUUGAAAUUUUGGACUCGUCAUCCUCAAGCUUUAGAUACUUGAAGUACCUUUCCAUGUUCCAUAGAAAGGUGUCAAGCUCUUUAGCUUCCCUCUUCCCACUAAAGGAUUUGGGUUUGAAAGAGUCUAAUGCCUUCGUCUCCUUUGGCCCUUGCGACUUGUUAAGUGCAGCCUCUUUGCUUAGCGCCCAAUCUCCCUUGACCUCCUUCACUUCCUCUCGGAGGGCUGUGAGCUCAGCGGACAUUUGAUCAAACUUGUCUCGGACCUCCCCUCGGAUCCUAUCUGCCAUAAUGUUAAGAGCGCCGUGCAUUUGCUCUCGCAACUCUUCCACCAUGGCUGCGAAAUCCCCCUUUGUCACGACGUCAUCUUCAAGUCGAGUGUCAAACUCGACCACGGCCGAUUCCACCUUUCCGAGCCGUGCAUCAAAGGCAGCAAGUACUUCCUUGUGGCUCCUCUUGGCGCCAACGACAGCUUGCUCCACCGAAACUCCUUCUCCGGACAUCUUCCUUCUCUUUGUGUUGUACGCGAGCAAUUAGACUCUGAUACCACUUGUCACGGGAUGAGAACUUCGCUCCUCUACCAACCGUGCGGCCUUAGAGUUGUUCACCUCCUUGAACUCUCUAAGUCAGCCUCGCCUUCACGCAACGGAAACAAGUGCAACACAAGAGAGCAAGAAUGUUAGAAGUAGACUAAGUGUGCAAGACUAAGCAAAAUAAACACUUAGACAAUGUGGGAGAAAUGAACUUUGUAUUAAGUUAUGAACACUUACAAGACUUUCCAAGAUGGUUUGGCAAAGAGCCUUCACCACCUAUUUAUAGCCUAGCACCUCCUCAAUGGAUGGCUAGGAUUCAUUUGAUCCUAUGGCUAUAAUUACAUGUUCUAGAAUAUACAUGAAGUAUCUACAAGAAAAUACCUAAGCUAGGGAAUUCUAAAGUGUCCUAGAAUUCUCUAGAUAGAUCCACCAUGUUCUUGAAUGUUGAAGUGCCUCCCCUUGCAUGAUGGACUUGGGCUUGUGUCAUGGACUUGCUUCACUCAAACUUGGUCCAUGACAAUAUACCCUCUGCCUCUAGUUUGGAACUUUGGCUCGUUCCUACGCACACAGCCAUUGACCAUUGUUCAAAAUUGUUAAAGAGAGAAUUUUUCAAAUGGUGCCCCAAGUUAAGCCCAUUCAUUAUUUUGACAUCUUAAUCUUGAAAACUAUAAUAAUGGUACCUCAACACUUAAACUCAGCCCAACAUUAGUUCCUUCCGUGAUUGACACCACCGUUACGUUGGAUUUUGUCCAUGGGCAAAAUUGUCUCUUCAUGUUUUCCCUCCACAAACUUUGUCAGUUGAAUUAGAGUUUCUUGACUUGAAGAUAUCAACUAUGAAUGUGAGUCAUAUUAGCUAGUUAUCUUUGAUUGUUAUAUUAAGUAUGUAUGUUUCAUGAACUUCAGUACUUAAAUGCAUUUUAAUCAAUGUUGAUUCUUUCUCUCACCGGUGGGUUGCAAAAGCUACUUUUAAUGAUGGAUAUUAAUGACCAAUGAUGUAUUAUAAUUUCUAAAUGUCUCUAAUUUUUGUAUGCAGACAACACAUGACUCACCACAAAUUCUGAUACUGAUGGAAAAAUGGACAUUAUUCUUGAGGGAAAUGUUUGUGAAAGAAAAAGAUUUAGGGAGGGAAAACAUGAAAAUACAAUUUUGCCCAUGGAUAAAGUCCAACUUAAUGGUGUCAAUCACGGAGGAAACUAAUGUUAGAUUGAGUUUAAGUGUUGAGGUACCAUUAUCAUAGUUUUCAAAAUUGAGAUGUCAAAAUGAUAAAUGAGCUUAACUUGGGGCAUCAUUUGAAAAAUUUCCUCUUGUUCAAAAGCAAAGCCACGACCAAGCCAGAUGACCCAGAUCAAGGUGUUUUUACUGCAAGUCCAUUAUACAAAAUGGAAAAAAUAUAAUAUUUUCAAAAAAUUAGGAAGCCCAUGAUCAAGGUGUUUGCACUUCACCAAGACCCCAAUACAUGGACAAAUGUUCUGUAGUUUUACUUGCGCUUGUAAAUGGUGUUGCAUUAUUCAUGUGCAACUCACCAUUCACUAUUCCUCAUGUAUAUUAUUGCUCAUCUCAUAUGAAGGGUAAAGAAAAUUAAGUAGCUGAUGCUCUUGCUGUCUUUCAAGUUUUGGCUCUUCUUCUGGUGAUAUGACUUUAAGAGAUACACUACCGGAUUUUGUUGAUUUUUUAGUUCACUUUUAUGACAGUGAGAGGUUGAAACUUCCUUAUUUCCGAUUUCACGUUUGUUAUUUUCUUUGAGAGGUGUGAGUGUUUGUCCCCCUUUUUUGUUUAUCACCUUUAGUAAAUAAUCUCACUCUUAUUAGUCUUAAUAAAAUAAAAUAAAAUAAAAUAAAGGACUACUGCUCUAGUUCUCACGCACGACCAGCAAUACAAAUGAUUCUCUUCCUGCUUUCUAUUGUUUUCGAAGUACUUUCAUCUAUAGCAAACUAUAAUUAAGUUACUGCCAAAAUAUCACUUAACAAUUAGAUUUUUUCAAAGAGUUUCUAAACAUACAAGGAUAAAAUUUUACAAAUAAGGACAAGUUGUUAUAUUCUUGUCAUGUGGCAAUAACACAUUUAUAAUUUUGUCCUUAAUUAAAACAUACUUCACUGCUACUACCUCCGACCGGAAGUCUGCAGCUACUAUCGCCGACCGGAAGUCUGCUGCUACUGCCGCCGACCGAAAAUCUGUUGCUACUGUGCAGAUCAGAAAAUUUAUUGCUACUGCAGUCGACCGGAAAUCUGCUGCUGCUGCUGCGUCGACCGAAAAUUUACUGCUACUGCCGUCGGCCGGAAAUUCAUUGCUACUAUCGCUGAUCGGAAAUUUAUUGCUCCUGUCGCCGACCAAAAAUUUACUGCUACUGCCGUUGAUCGGAACCUACUGCUACUACCGACUAAAUAGCUACUGCUACUACCAAAUUCACCCAAAAAAAAAACUUCUACUACUACCAAAUCUACAGUAGCAGAACUCUUACACAUCCAAAACCUGAUGAUCUGCAAUAGCAACAAGACCUGAUGAUCUGCAACAACAGUAGUAGCAAGACUUGACAAUCUGCAACAAUAGUAACACCAAAACUUGACCUUUGUGGCAGCGCAGUAGCAGCAAAACUUGAUGAUCAGCAACAACACAAUAGUAGUAGCAAGAUCUGAUGAUCUGCUACAGUAGCAGUAAGACUUGAGAAUCUACAACAACAGUAGCAACAAAACUUGACCUUUGUGGCAGCUGUAGCAGUAACACUUGACAAUCUACAACAACAGUAGCAGCAAAACUUGACCUUUGUUGCAGCUGUAGCAGCAAGACUUGAACAUAGCCUUUAGAAGGUACCAACUCAUUAUCAAUGAGAUCGACUCCUCAGCCGCCACACCUCUCCGGGACGUCAAGCUCCUAGCCCUCUACUUCUCCAUCUCCGAUUACAAGGUUUGUCGAGAUCUAAGGUUUUGAAUUGUGACAUUAGAUUUGGAAUUAGCAAUGUUGAAUUGAAAUUGUGCGUUCAAGAAUUUGUGAUCUCUAAUUACUCAACGUCAAAGUCGGCCUUAGCUUGCUCGGAGCUAUUGGACGAUGACGAGAACCUAAUCUUCCAAAGAGGUCGACAGUGAGAAUUGGUUGGGUGACAAGGUAGUUGGAGAGAGAGAGAGAGAGAGAGAGAGAGAGAGAGAGAGAGAGAGAGAGAGAGAGAGAGAGAGAGAGAGAGAGAGAGAGAGAGAGAAUAGGUAAGGGAAAAAAAAGAAAAGAAAAAAGAAAAGGAAGAGAGUGAGAAGAAAGUUUAGGAUGUCAGAGUAUUAUGGUCAUUUGAUAGGUUAAAUUUGGAUCAGACCUAAUGCUAUUAGUUUUGGGUUGGGCUCAUGUGUAUAAAAAUUAAUGAAAGUGAGUUUUUUGUGUUUUUAAAUUUGAUUAUGUACUACUAUGUAAUUUUCUCUUUCAUCUACUCUUUUACUGUUCGGGAGUAAUAAUUAACGAGUUAAGUUCUUUUUUUUACUAUAAUUAGAGAGAUAAGUUUCUGGUCAUAUUAGCCUACUUUUUAUGAUCAAGUAAAAACCGGGAAGAAUGCAAGUGUGACGAUAUACAGUAAUCAAAGUGCAUUAAACAUUCCUAUCUGUGGUAGGACGUAGGAGAACUCCAAUUGCUAGUGUAUGAUAAUGCCAGUUUGAAGUGGCUAUUUCGAGUACCUAGAUAAACUUGAGUCAGGAUGAGAUCGGUUGCUAUAGAGAAUUGCAGAUGCAUAUGUAAAGCAGCUGGUUCCAUAUAAGCUAGGUUUGUUCCUACGUUUACCUACAUUCCUAAUUGCUGAUGGUGAUGACACAUUUACUUACUUAGAAUGAAAUUUAUUAUGAAUGAAAGAUAGAAGGAAUAGGAGAUGGAAUAGAACAGUAUAUGGAGAUUUCAAUUCUAUUGAGCUGUUUACUUACCACAUGAAAUUAGAACAUGAAUAUAAUUAAUUAUUAUUUUAAUUACUAAAAUACUUAUGAAAAAAAUAAAGCUACACAUUUCGAUCACUCUCAACACAAUUUUUUCUUAUAUGUUGAUCUAAUUUUGUUUGUCGUUUUGAUUGUCUCAGUUGAUAAAUUAUGUAUAAUCAACAAACCAAAGGGACUAUUUCUAUUCAGUGUAUUAAUUAUAAUCAUGUGGUUACAUAUUAAUAAUAUAAUACAUAGACUACGUGUGCACUUGUGUAUAUUGCAAUCUCGUUCUUACAUAAACUCUCUUCUAUCAUGAUUUAUCAAAUCAUUUGGACCUAAUACUAGCAUUUUGGGUGUAUCUCAAACCGCGAGUUGCAAGGAUUGAACAACAAAAUUAAGACAUCAUACGUUUAUACAUUUUAGUAAUAUUAUAUUUAAAUCAAGUAAGCAAUUUUAUAAAUAUAAAAAAAAAAUUUAAACAACUUCCAUGUAACACCUCGAUUUGCACCUCAUCAAAUCAAGUACAUUACAAUGCCGCGUUCUCUUAGAACCUAAACUAGGGCCCAUCACUCAAGCCCUGAGAACCCGCAAGGCAUUUUAAUUAAACUAACUAAAACUUUUAUAAAUUGAAAAUCAAAGUUAAAGUCGGAAGCGUUACAUAAAUGAGGUGUAAAACAUUAUAGUAAAACAGAUUUACUUCCUUCGGAUCAAGCUAUAAAGCACAAAACUAAUACGAAAUAACAACUUCAAUAAAACAUCUCCAAGGUUAACAAAAACAUAGUUCCUUGGUAGCACGGAUAACAAUGACAGGAAAAUAAAAUAAAGUAGCUGACAGACAAAAAACUUCAAACAAGGUUUCCAAAUAAAACACAAGGAAAUGUAUCCAGUAAUCAUGAUACAAAAUGGAGACCUUACGUACGAUAACAAAUUUAAAAAAAGACAUUUAACUUUAACCAAAUAUGCACACCCAUCUCAAUCCAGCUCAAUCCCAUUCUUGUGCACAGAACCUGCAUCGAAAACUGUUGUAGGGGUGAGCUUUCGUCCUCGCUGCUCAAUAAGACUCAACCAACUAGGUUUGAAAACUAUUUAAUUUAUUGGCCAGUAUGUGAAAACAAAUAUAAAUAUAAAUGAUGAUCAAAUCAUAAAGUAAGUUUCAUUUUGAAAACUAUCUGCGGGCCCAGAAUACACAAACCUGAUGACCGGUCCUCUUAUGCCAACUACAACCUUACCGCAAUUAAUAUCGUCCAUACCGGCAAGGUGUAGCGAGAGUGUCCAUUUACGCUAUACCGCCUAGGAGUGACGCCACACCUCAAAGGAUGUCAGACGUCCUCGAGUCCGUACAGCCCCUCCGAAGGUUUAGGGGAUCGAAACCCAAGGAAGUCACUAUGCCCCGCUCACUCUCAAGUCAUCACACAAUAUCGAAAACAUUGAAAACAAGCAUGGCAAUAGAAAUAUUAAAUCUUCAUAAUAAACCAAUCACAGCCAUGCGAUCAUUUUUCAUAUAUAAUAUACGAAAAACCACUAGCCAAGAAGAGUCUAGAAUCCCCUACCUGGUAUUCCUGGAGUCCAAGUCUUUGCUCCACAACACUCGGCAAACACCACCAUACUCGAAAACUCAAGAACCGGAGCUCUGUCCGACAUUUCAAAUAUUAGUUCCUUAAACAUCAAUUAGGAACUCUUUUCAAAAACUUAACAAGAUCACAUGUACUACAUAAUGAUCAUAUGAGGUGAUAGCUAAUAGUAGCUAGUUAUAAAGACCGAGCUUAGUUCAACACACUAAGCCAACUAAUAAUGGCUCAUACUUAACUCAUUCUUUAUCUCUAGCUCAAAUGAGCAUCUGAACCCAAUUCGUUUCUCAUUCAAAUGCUUUAACCCUUCCAACUUAUCAUGAACUAUUGCCAAGUAAUUUGAUUCACCACUUCAUAAUUAUUGUUUUCAAUAAACACGCUGGAAGUAUAUAGUAAGAGUGUUCCAUUCAAAGAAGCUUCAUGACAUCAAUAUUUCAAAAAUGUCCAGCACCUUAUGUUUCAUUAGCUUUCUAUCCGUAUCAUGAUUCAAACCAAACCAAUAUCCCCUUGAGCACAUCGAAUAGCAACAAAUCCUAGAUACCAUUGAUAUAUCAAUUACACUCUUCAAAAUAAACUAGUUUCCAACUUUAUCAUUCUUGUAAAUAUGAUGCAGCAUAUUACCAAUAGAUCAAAACCAUAUCGUUCAUAGCAAGGGAUCAGUGCAUACUUACAGUAGCCUAAUAAUUCUUUCCAAAGUAUAUUCAUAGCAAACACAAUUAAGUCAACUAUAUGUAUCCAAAGUGAUCACCCACUUACCAUGUAAUUUCUUUAUUUUGAUCUCUUUCUUCCUGAUGCGUUGUUGGACCAAAGCAACUGAACCUCAUAUACUCUGUUUUCAUUGAAUAGGCAUACAAACCAUCAAUGCCAUCAUAAUCCAAUAUAAACAAAAUUUUAUACUUGGAAGAACAUGAAACAAGAGUUCCCUUGUUUACCCAGGCUCUCACCUUAAUUUUCAAGAGGAUGUCCAUUACGUCCAAGCAUGUAGUCUUGUCCUAGAUGGAGAACUUGAACCCUUCUUCUUCUUCUAUUCUCAUUAAAAACAAAGUAAUUAAUAAUUGAUCAAUUGCUUAUGGAACCAAAUCCAAUCAAAGAUACGGUCUUACCAUCUUUAUGGUCUCUCUAAAUUUCCAUUCACCCAUCAAUUUCCAACUUCUGCAUUAUUUGACAUGUUCAGGAGUCAUUAACUUGCUUCUUAACUCCAAAAACUCAUCACCCAAUAAAUCUUAGUUCGCAUCAUCACAUAGAACCAAAAGACAAAAUUAAGAACUCAAAUUCAAAUCAGUGGCAGAAUCUUACUUGUGAUUUUCAGUUUCAUCACCUCUUCCCUUCACAGCUUAAUUAUUCUCCAUGGUCUUCCUGCUUUGUUACUUGGAACCUAAUUCAACUUCAGUUUGUCAUCACCAGCAAUCAAACCAUCAAAAAUAAUCAAAACCCAAUCUGUGUUAAAAUCUGAAAUCCCAAAUCUAUGGGUUCUUGGGACUUUACCUCAAAACGCCAAGAGAAGAAGAAUAACGUUCAUGCAUGUGGCUUUCUACAACUUGAAUCGAUGGCGACGGUACAUAGCCGAACGACCCAAACUCCAUCUCUGUUGUAUCCUUGAACUGAAGAUUAACAUCCCACCAUGAAUAUUUAGCAGCUUUGCCUUCUUGAACAUGAACAGAGAGACACAGAGAAAGAAAGAGAGUGAUCAAGAUCGAGAGCGUUCGUAAGAGAGGGAGAGAAAACGGGAGAAGCUUCUGGUCAUUCUCUGAUCAAAGCUUAUCAAUUUGUAGCUCAUAUAUAUAAAAUUACAAUGUUGCCCUCCUUAGUCCCCGGGUUAUUCCAAGACUACAUUAUAGGCCCAAUUUAAAAAUGAAACCUCUCGAACCCAACUAAACCGAGCAAUGUCCGUCCACUACAGAAAUCGUUUACUAAAAUCAUUCGUGACCGCAAUACAUAUAGCUAUAACUUUACGGGGUCUCACAUUCCACAAAUAAUAUAUUAUUAGCAUAUAAAAAGAAGCCUUUAAGAAAAAAAAAUUGAAAUUAUUAGCAUCUUAAACAAAUUUCUCAAUAUAUUAUUAGCAUAAUAAAAUUAAAGAGGGCAUUUUUAGAAUAAAAGUUUAUUCCUGAUGAUAUCAUUCAUUAUCCCACCUCCCCCUUUAGUAUUACAAUUUAGGGUUGUUAAGGAAUCGAUUCCUUAUUAGGAGGUGGGAGUCACACCCAUUCCAAUUUCAUUAUGUGUAAGUAAACGCUAGAAUUCUCUUCUGCCGGAAUCAUUCCCUCAUUUUUCAAUUUCAUUCCAUGUAAGUAAAUGUGUCAGCAAUUCAUUCCUAUACGGAUCUGAACAUGAAUUAAAUACAGCUACAUUUUCACUAAGUAAGCAUUCAAUCCCAAUUAAUGGAUCCAUGUUUGUGCCACAAACUAUCAACAAGGAAGAGGCUUAAUCAAGAUUGAACUCAUCGUUGAACUUUAUUUUUGCAUACACAAAGCAAACUACGUGGAAGAAACACCAAGCACAGAAAAUAUUACAAUAAAGAAAAGCACCACACUAGAUAAAUCGUAUGUUUAUUGGCAUAUAACUCAAUUUUUGGAUCAUGGAAAGAUGAACUCUCCUUUCUGAUAUGCCUCGUGAUUGCGCUCUUUCAUGAAGUCCAGAAGCAAGGAGGAGUAGGGUUGCUCAACAACUCCCUUGUACUCCUUCAACCACUGCAUGAAGCUGCUCUUCUCCAAGAAAAUUUCCGGAGACAAUGCAUAAUUCUUAAGGGAACCAUACACAUACGCCUCGAAAAUUUUCAAUUCUUGCGGUGCACGUUCUUUCUCUUCAACUGAUCCAUUCUUCACCAGAGUGCAUAGGAUGCGAGCUUCUUCAACAUGCGCCCAAAAACAAGAAUCCUCAUUCAAACUAGCCCCCACUGACUCUCUUUUCGCUUUGCUUGGGACUUCUUGAGGUUUGUCUUUUUUCUUCAACCAUUCCUCCAACAGUAUGAAAUGUUUAGGCCUUUUCCCAUCAGAUAUGUAGUUCUUUCCACCAUCCUUGUAGUAGUCUGCUAUGUGAAGUGGCUCAACCAUCCUUCUGUAGUUUGUGCCUCCCCAUAGCCAACGAACCCGAAAAUGCGCUCCUUCCAUCUGGGGCUUGUUCUCUACUUCAGUGACAGAGUCCUCCCAGUAAUUCAUGAGCUUCUUCUUAUACCCGUUAACAUUGAUGUCAGAUUCAUUGCCCUUCUCUCUGUACCUGUCAUAGUAUCCAAUAUUUUGCCGUUUCGAGUCCUUCUUGUACCACUCCAAGUUGGCCAUGCAAAUUUUCAUGUCAUUCAGUCUCUUGUCGUUGUCCGAGUUCUUCAUCUUCUGAAUUAACAACUUUGUUUCAUGUUUUUUCAUCUUCCCAACCAGAUUGUUAGUAUCAGGGGACUGUUGCUGUUGCAAUGAUAACAUUUUGGUAAUAAGUUAAAUAAAAAGUAUGGAAAAAUGAUACCAUACUCUUAUCAUAAAUUAGUUUGAUUUUUUUCUUUUUCCACACUUCACAACAAAUAUAGAAACGCACAGAAUAAUGAUAAUUUCCUUAUUUUUCUGUGAGAUCAUUUGUUACCUGUGAGACUACUCCGACAGCUAGGAGUUGUGUGAUUAUGCUAGCUUCAAGUGGAUCUCUUUCCCCUCCAAUGGACUUGUAAACAUUACAUAAUGCCUUGCGCUUGAGAUCCUCCAAAAUAUGUCCAUAAGGGAACCCCAAAUUAGGAUCUUGAGUUUGAGCACUAAGAGAAUUGGCUGUCACGAAUUGUUCUGAAAUGAAAUCCGGGUCCUCAGAGGUAGCACUACCCGAGGUCGAGCAUAAUAAGAAUGUCCCAAAUGGCUUAUAAGCACCAAAUGUAUUUCGAGACAUAAAGAGUUUAGGUGUAUGAUCUUGGUCAGAGACUACAUGCAAGAAACAAGAUUUCCAAGUCGAAAAUUCUAACACACAUUUUCGAAGGUGUUCAUCACCAACAAAGGGAGAACUGAAAGUAACGCAAAGAGGGCGUUUGGUUUUGAGCACGUUGAAGCCUUCUAGCAACCAUAAGGUGAAGAGUGUAGCCACAAUGCCUCCCACAUAUUGUCCGGUGAUGAUUAUCAAUGGUGGGGUUUUGCUCUUGCUAUUCUCUACCAGCUGAAACAAUGUAAAAUGUUAUUUACUCAUCAGAAUGAUAAUGAAGCAGAACAAGAGACAAGCAUGUUAUGUCAAUCUUAUGUUUUACAAAUACUUGUGAAACUAACUAAGAUGACAACUUCAAUGUAUAGCUUCUUAAAACCAACCUUAUUUUUCAGAAGGAGGAGGUCAUCAUAAUGCGACUGAAAUAGUGUGAUUGCUGCUUCAUUGAUGUAGAAGACUGGAUUGCUUUUGUUGCACAAAAACUCAAAGUGAGGAAAAUAUUUUGAUGAAACCAAGCCUUCUUGUCCCUCAAGAGAGCUGGGCGGAGUGCCAAAAGCUAUGAUGAUCUGAUUUUCUGGUUGGAUUAUUUCAUUGUACAAGGGCUCUGCAUUUGGAUUAAUCUGUCUUUGUUGCUCAACCGCACACCAUGCCCGGUUUACCGGAUCAGAGUUCAGCACAAAAUUCCCCGAUUCUAAGCCGCUGCUAAACCUGACAUCAUCAGGAACAAAAAUCAAACCCAGAGUAAAAAUGGGAAGAAUAAACAAAAUAACAGGACCCAGUAAAGAACAGAUACAUUUCUGAAAAUGACACUCAGACAUGGUGAACUUACAAUCAUAAAAACAAGCUUGGCAAAUAACAAGGAAAAAAGAGAGAACAAAAAUCUUAGGAAGAGACUACAUACUUGUUUUGGCUGACCAUCUUCAAGCUUUCUGGUAUAUGCUUAGAGAAACAACAAUGAUCGUAUAUAUAUAGUCAGUGAGAUCAUUCACCAGCAAUCUCCAGGAAACUUACCGAUAAGCAUAUAAAAACUUCUUCCUGUCCAAAAACUAGAAAACCAAGUCUUCGUCUUCGUCAAGCACGUCAACAUCAACUCAAACCGAGCAACUUCAUGAAAGCUUAAUAGGAAGACCUUUAGCUAGAUACAAGAUGCCUUAUCUCUUUCCCUUUUAACUUAACGUGUUGCGAUUCCUCGUAGUCUUUGCAUGUUCAUACGCAAAUCACUGGAGUUAUUAUAUACCGGACUAUAUUUUCCCUGGUGGUUUCGGUUCUUAAGCUACAUUUUCCCGGCCAUAAUCUAAUUUAAUUACAGAUUGAUCAAUGAUCUAUAGAGAAUAUAACUGGUUAAACUAAUUAAUCAACUUGUAUUAAAAGGUGUGACAAAGUUAACGUCAAUUUUGUACAACCUCUGGGGAACACUUGGAAAAUCCCCUUGCUAUGAAUCUCACAGUUAGCAAAGCAAUCGCCAAAUAUCAGAAGAAAUAAGAAGCUGCUGUUAGAGCUGUCAGCUGUAGAAGGUCUGGUUCGAACAUAAAGCUCAGCUUUGAGGAAAACUGAUGAGCGCAAUAUCCUAAUCCAACAUUGCCUUACAUUGCUUUACGAGAGGAACCUUCCACAGAACCAAUGUGGAUAUCCUUUGUGUAUACGUUUGUGAGCGCGAAAAGCAGCAGAACAAAGACAACUUGAGCACUCACUAUUCCAAAAUGGCUGAUGCUGUUACCAAUUUCCAUCCAACUUCCUGUAUUCUGGACCUGUUACCGAUCAAAAUAGUCAGUAAAGUCGAUAAGAAUACAAGGUUUCAUGUACAUUAUGUAUAGAAAUGCAGUCUGGACCACACAUUUAUAGCUACCAAACUCGUAUCCUUAUCAGUUAUGAGACGGCAUAAUUUUAUUCGUAGAAUGUAGUUAGUAUACAUACCAGGAAGAAGAAAUGCAUAGUCAUAACAUCUGAAAACAAUAUAACGAGGAAAUAGCAUCCCAAUCGUGGAAGUCGAUUCAGCUUAGUUAUUGCACUGAAUACACAUCUGCAUUUCAAUCCACCAAAGAAAAGGUUAUAUUUUCAUUCAUAGAAAUUCAACUCAACUUCCUCACACCAUAACAAUGUAGCCACAAAACAUAUCAUAACAGGGCAGCUCAAGCCAUGAGAAGGCAUUAGUACAAUCUAUAACCAUUUAUAACUUGGUAAAAUUUUCUUAUGGCACAAUGCUAUAAUCAGUCAUAAACACCAAUGAGACACACAAUUGUGAUUGUACUUACAUGACAAGCAGAAAUGGAAUGAAUAGCUUGAAGAUCAGUAACGCUGCCAUAAGAAAGGGCUGCAAUAAGAGAAAGCAACAUUAGCAAAGUAGCAAAACUCUGCAAAUAUUCUGGAUUCAACAAAAAUUCAACCAUCACUUACGCUGAAGACAGUAAUGAAUCGAUAGACUGAUGAGAUUUCAAAACUUGCGAUACUUGCAAAAUUUCCCGUUCCGAAGAAGGCAACAUUAAACAAGACCAGCUAAAGACACAAACUCCAUUAGCAUCACGUCAUGACCAGUAAUAAGUAUGAAAAACACUAGGCAAGGAGUACAUUCUCUUAUAAACACCCCCAUACUUCUAGUGAAAUGUUUGAGGUCAGUCAUCAGUGCAAUGAGUUUGAAUUGUUUUCUAUGAUUCCUUCAGCAACAGUAGUACUAGCUAAAUUUAUUUGCACAGAUUAAAACAAAAGACCAUGCUAAACAUAAUUGAUAGGUGGCUACAAGCUUUAAUUUUCUAAUUCACAGUUUUCUCAAUUAUAUUGCAGCUUCAGAAAAUCUUACAAGACUUAUAUCAUAGGUAAGGAAGGUCACAGAUGGACGCAUAACUAAUAGCCAAGAUCACUAAUACAGAAGGUCAUACAUAAAGCAUAUCUGAAUUUAUAAAAUAUUGUGUGCUAGUCUUGUAAAGGUCUCCAAAACUUCAUUUGGAAUAGCAUAGCAGAAAAAAUAUUUAAAAUGCAUGAUGAUAUAAUUUAAGAAAACAAAGCACUUACAAAUGUCAAAGGAAUUCUCACAUCAGACAGCUGCAAGUAUCUACCAUCAACUAGGGAAUUAUCCUCCAUAUUGUUAAAGGAACUUGACAACCUUUUCACCUUACUAGAGUAAAUAAGUGUGUUUUCAAAUAGUAUCCAAGCCAUGAGUACGAGAGCAAAAGCACUAUAGAAGACAGCUUCAUAUCUGCAUAAUUUUUUAGAAUGAACAAAGAUAUUAGAAAAUCCAUCCUAAUUUCAUGCAUAUCACAAAGCUUCUAAAGACAAAAAUGAUAGGUGACACAUAAUUUGCCUUUACCCGAUAGAUAAUAGAAGGAAUGUGGGUGCAAAGCCAAGAAAUAUGGACGUAAGCCGGGACAAGAGACCAUUUGCUGAAAAUAAUGGAAGUACCAUCGAGGGACCUAUGACAAGACAAAAUAAUAGAUAAGUACCAUAUGUGGAAUUCACUUCUAACGUUACUCGGGCAUUGAAAUAUUAUCAAUCAGUUUACUGACCAUCAGAACAGAUAAAACAAAUAUAAUAAGAUAAAUUUGAAAAACAAAAAAAACAACAAAAAUUGUAGAGCAAAAGAAAUGAAAAGGAGAAACAUAACAAAAAUUAGAUGUUGGAUGUAUGCUACUGCCCAAAACUAUAACCUAAAAUGCUAAAUUGCCAGUCUAAGAGCAUACCAGCAAUGGACCAAUUUAUAAACUGGUGCCAGACAUGCAGUUCUUGGUUCUGUGUUCUAUGAGAUGUUGAAAUUGACACCAUCACAGACGAUAAUCCAACCAGAAAAGCCUAAUUCACAAAUAUCCAAGAGAAAGAAAAACGACUUUAGAUCUGUGGAGUCACAUCAAACAUAAGAUCAUACCAAUUGGGAGCUGAGACAAGUGAAGCACCUGUAAUUGAAAGAGCAUGGGGAACUUGGGUUUCUUUGCGUCACUAUUACAGAUACUGAGCCAAAACUUGUUUCCCUCAGUAUGCUGAUCCAGAAACCUACCAGCUGCUCCAACCAUAAUAAUCAUAACCCCACUCCAUAUUCUGUAGACAUGAUAUUGCACAAACACAGACAUAAUUGUUAUGGCCAACCCAAAUGCUACUAAUAGACAUCAAACUCAAGAUAGUUAAUACAGUAAAACUGUCUAUUUAUCAUAACAGGCUCAAAAUCUUAUUGACUAGUUACUGAUUUUAUCCGUAAGCUGAUAUGAGAACAACAUUGUUUGAAUUCAAGAUUGUGCAAACAACUUUAAUUCUGUCAGAUAAUACGUCCGCAACUUAUUGAAAACUAAACUGUCACAAGCACAUACAUUGAUAAAUAAACAUUCCACAAGAGUCCACUUACACAAGAUUAUUAUUAUCCGGAAUUUCUGCUGGCAUCAAAGUAAAUACAGAUAAGAACCAGCAUGCACCACAAACAAAGAAAGGAAUCCCAGAUCUCCAUGGAAUUGACUUGAAAAGAUAAAUAAAGGCUAUGGCUCCCACAGUCAGAAAACACCAGGUGUAGAGCUUCCUCUCAGUGAAGCUAUUCACCUACAGAAUAUACCAAAGUACACUGUUCAGAGUUCAAAAUACCAAAUUACCAGGUUUUGAAGCCGGAUGAUAAAUAAGUUUGAUUUCAAUACCAGAUAUUCAAGUAUGAAUACUGCGACAGCACAAGCGGCUAGAACUUUUGUGAAAUAGUUGAUUUUCCUUCCAGAUAACUGUCUCCAUAAUGCUUUAAUGAACCGAUAUUCACUAGAUAUUUGUGUCCACAAAAAUACUGUCAUUGUUGUGUAUGCAUGGUAAAGAGGAGGAGACUGCUCAAUGAACAGUAUCAUGCUGAGAAGUCCCAGAAACAAGCAUCCAGAAAGUUGUACCUGCCAAAAAUUAAUAAAGAUAUUUUAGUUAAAUUUUAUAUUUAGAGAAUUUAAAACUUGGCCUCUUCUUUUUUUUUGCAAAAUAUUCCUGAAUUUGGCCUCUCUUUUUCUUAUGGAAAAUGUAUCCCUCUUUUUCUGUGAACUUCAAUUGAUAAGGUAAUUAAUGGCUAUGCAAGAUCAAGCUUACACAAACAUUACUUUUCUGGUAUUAUCUGUCUGGUGAUCUGCUUGCAUCUUUAUCAAUAUAUCACCUGCCAAUGACGUGUAUGAUUGCAGCACAUGGAGAACAAUAUAGGUCAUCCAACCAAUAUACCCAAGAAUAAUUACAGUCAUGAGCAUCAGCCAAUCAUAAGUUUGAAAAUAAUGAAGUCCUUGUAGUGCCAAGUCUCGCAGAUUUUCAGAUAGUUUCCUAGCAGCUUCAUAGUCUCCAUUAGAUAUUUGAUCCUCAAUUUGAUCCAAGAGGNNNNNNNNNNNNNNNNNNNNNNNNNNNNNNNNNNNNNNNNNNNNNNNNNNNNNNNNNNNNNNNNNNNNNNNNNNNNNNNNNNNNNNNNNNNNNNNNNNNNAUUUAAUUUGAGCGUACCUGGGCUCUCGCUCAGGCGUUGAAGAUCGAUGAAGUUGCAUGUUGUGAUUGCAGAUCGAUGAGAAGAUUCUCUCAUGCAUCAGUUCUAAGGAGUAAAGAAGAAUAGAGUAAAAAGUCUUCAUCGAAAAAAAGAGAGAGAAAAGAACCAUGAGUAGAAACCUUCAAGUGAGAGGAGAGCACAUAAACCUUCAAUCGAUGGAGGGGGUGUGGCGGUGUACACAAUAAACAUGUCAUUUUUCAGGCAUUUUUUGAUUGAUCAGGGUGGCCUUGGCAGCUUCCCAGACCCGAGAUAUGACUCAGAGUCGAAGAACCCAUGCCAGACAACAAGUGGAGAGCUAAGAGAUGCGAUUCAGGAUUUACAGAAAAGGAUGAAAUAUGUCGAUGUGCAAGGCUAUGGGAUGAAACUGCUUGCUCAAACAAUCAUGAAGGCUGGAAGGUUAAAACUCUGAAAACUCUCAAGAGAGAGAAUCGAGAACGGAGGAUGGCGGCAGACCUUUUUCGAGGAUUGUGUGAUGCUUCGAAACGAUGCCAAGGCCCUCCUCAUUAUAUGUGGUAUGUAUGGACUGUGGUCAUGGACGGCUGAGUCGGUAGGGUUGGUAUCAUAUUGAAUUUUGGCCAAAUUAGGUAAUGAAAAAUGUAUGGCUCUGACUGAUUGUAAAAUCCUUAUUCACAGUUUUGUAACAGUCAAAUCGAUAGAUCUAGCUUCUCGAAUUUCCCCUCGCCAGUCCACGUCUUGAAUAACUAACUAGGACCAGACAAAGUCAAAAAAGGAUGAUAAAAGAAGAAGAAUGAACAAAAAAAAAAAAAAAAAAGAAAAUGCAAGUGGUAUCUAUCUCCGCGUGAAAAACAAUGUAGUGCUCCAAUACGUUGUCGAGGAACGAAUCGGUCCAUAUGGGGUGAACCCACGCGCCGUUUAACGUCGGGUGAAGAACAUAGGGUUUGAGGGCGUUAGAUCAGUCCUCGACUGAGUCUCCGUUGCCAACCCGACCCGCACAUUCUGGGCUGUUCCGGCCACCUGACGACGUCCGACCAGCCCUGAUCGAACCUCUAUUCUCCGGCUACCUCCUAGGACUAUUAAAUCGCGCAAGCAUUAAGGUUUGAUCGAAAGCCCAAUCCGACCUGUACUUUGCUGGCGACGUACUUUCUUGGGUUGCUGAAGUCUAGGAAACUUAAUUUGGACCGGAAUUCUAGAAGUUGCUGAUUCGAUGGGCACUGGCUCUAGUCGUUCAUUUUUCCAGUAUACUGUUGUGUUGGGAUUUUCUGGGUUCUUGGUUCUGAUAUGGAGGGAGAGGCCCAAUUGAGAGUUAUGUUGAGUUUGUAGCAGAAAGAUGUCUGUUGAGAAUAAUACAAUUAGACAAAGGAGAAAGAAAAUUCUUCUGUUUGAUUGCCUCUACGCUCUACCUGUCUAGCUAGUGACCAAUAUAAACACCGUAUUUCAGGUCAGGGAAAUCCGGUGAUUGCCUCCACACUUUUCUUAUUAGACAGGAAAACAGGGACAACAGAUUUUCUCCCCUAAUAAACAUGAGUUCAUUUCAAUAUAACGUGUUUUUACUUAUGCCUAAAUACACAAUUUUAUAUUAAAGUCAUAAUAAAAACAUAAUUUUUAUAUAUUUUAAAGACAAUUUUAGCUUCAUCACUUCAACAUGUAUAGAGAGAGAGAGAGAGAGAAGAUUUUACCGGAAUCUCAUCGGACUCCGGUCACUGGACUCUGGUUUCCGGUUGUCAGAUUCCGGUCAUCGGUUGCUGGAAAUUUAUAUUAACCCUCAGUAACUCAUAUUUUAUAACCCUCAGUAACUCAUAUUUUAUCCGGUCGCCGGAUUUCGAUCACCGGUAACUCAGUUACUGACCCCCAGUAACUCGAAUUUUUUCCGGUCACCUGAUUUCGGUCAUCAGUAACGGCAUUACUGACUCCCAAUAACUUGGUUACCAACCCCUAAUAAUCAGUUACUGACUCCCAAUAAUCAACUUAUUUCAGUUUAAUGUAAUAGAAAAUAAGAAAUACCAGAAAAAAAAAUCGGAUUACUGACCCUUAAUAACUAGGUUACUGAUUCUCUAUAAAGGCUACUAACCCUCAGUAAUCAAAUUACUAACUUCUAGUAACCAACUUAUUACUCUCUAAUAUACAUGUUUGUUGUCUUCCCGUGGAUAGAUACAUCAUUAACACAAAUAAUGAAAUCAAUAACUAAAGCUAUACUUGUAAUCACAUGAAAGAAACAUAUAACUGGAGCAUAAAUAUAUUUUAAGAACAAAAUUGCAACAUACUGUACUUAAUUCACAACAAAUCACAGUACUGCAACCUAGCUAUUCUCUUCAACAAGGUGCGCGCCCACAUUUUGGAUUCGGUAUACCAGCCACACAUUUAUAGUCUUCUUUGUACUGCAAACUCAAAGAAAUCCGAAUCACAUGCAAACACAUAUAUAGAUAGUCAAUGAUACAGAGGAAGGAAGAUGCAGAAUUAAACCCUAACCUUGGCCAAGACCUGAGGCUGUAUCGACGGGUUGUGGCUAAAAUCGGGCGUGAUCAAAGAUUGAAUUGGCAAGCCAAGGCUAAAUUGGUGUGUUCGAAGACUGAAUUGGCGUGAUCGGAGACUGAAUUGAUCGUCCGAUAGUGAGGUUGUUGGACGUCGUCGACGGAGGUAGAGGCGGAGGCAGAGGACUGUACCUCGGAGUGGUUGCAAAAAUGUGUCAAUCGCUUCCUCAACGUCAUCUCCGCUUCUAUUUUGGACAAAAUUCAAGCGCCACAAUUGCCGAAAGCCAUAGCCGCCGAUCUCCACCAUUGCCGCCAAUCUCAGUCCAUGGCAAGAGCUAGCUCUGAUGCUUUGAACGACGACUACACCGACAUGAAUGAGGUUGACGGACUCCGCAUGUGGGGUUAGUCCAGUCCUCAUGUUGAUAUGGAAUCGAAGAGAGAGAGAGAGAGAGAGAGAGAGAGGUUUCUGAUCGAAGUGAGAAUAAGAUUUGACUGAGUUUUUUGUUUUAGUAGUAAGGUUAAAUUCGUCUUUAUCUUAAGAUUUAUUGAAAUGAGCAUGGGAAUAAGAUUCUCAUUGAAGUGAGUUUUUAAAUCCUUGAUUUUGAUUAAAUGGGCAUUUUCCCAAUCCUUUUGAUUUUGACCUUCCGCGUAUCGAAAACCGAAACUCGUUUCCGUUUCCGUGCAACAUAGCCUCCAACCCAAACUCCUCACAAGCUCACUUUCUCAAUUCCAAAUCCUAACUCAAUCAAGCAAAAAUCCCAAAAUCCUAAUCAUCCUCCGCCACAACCCCAUAUCUUACCGUUUUUCGAUUCGUCUCUCUGCCGGUUCCGAUACUGAUCGGUUAUUUUUUAAACCAAUUUUAUUUUCCUUAUUCACUACUAGAUCGUCGUUUAUAGUAUGGGCAAAUAAGGGUCAUUCCCGCAGAGGACUAAAUGAAUCUAACUACUCAAAAGAUGUCACAAAAGUGACUACUGAUCCUAGCGACCAGAAGUCAAAAACCUAAUCAGAUACCUAAUCUAAACUAGUCAGAAAAAUACAAAAAUUUACAGACACAAACUAGACACACAAAAGGACUCACAAACGAAAUUUCAGAUGAUUCGGAGUUGAUUUGAUAUGUCAAAUAAAUACUAGAAAACAGAGGACAGAAAGUGACGAAAACUGAUUUUGGUUUUGGGAAACAAUGAAAUAAAACUAGUUAGGCAAGAUGCAAUCCACCCUGACAAUCACACACAAGACAAUUUGUUCAGUUAUAGUUUAAUUAAUCUAGAUGAAGAUGCUCAGGUUGGUUCAGUACGCUUGAAACACAACCUAUUACCCUUUCUUACUUCGUACGCUAGGCAGGAAGUGCUCUACACCUAGACUAUUCUCAAGCAAUGCAACCUAAAGGUACGUUUAUUAGAUUUAACAUGCAGAAAUCCUUAAGCUCGAAAAGAGUUUGAGACAUCACAAGGCAUUGCAAUAAACUUAGCGCCUUGCUAAACCUAGGAUUUGGUUUACUUGCUAAUGAAAACUAACAAUUGCUUCUCUAGAUAGUUUGAGGAGUCCGAUAUUGACACUGGCAUCAAACAAUCAAAGCUAUAGAGCCCUAACAUGUAUACUAAGCGUACACUCAAAGCAAACAUGAAAAGAAUUCAUCAACGUAGAAAUAGUAAACAAAGUCUCAUCUUGGAUUAAAAGAAACUAAAACCAAAACUCAAAUAAUCUUGUUGUUCAUGUCUAGGGCUUCAAGCAGCCCCUAACUAAGAAAGCCUAAAUAAACAUAAUAAAAACGCAGAAGAACGAGGAGGAGGAGAAGAAGAAUAGAAGAGGGGCCGUCAAGAAUGAUAGCACAGGCUUUUAUAUUGCUUCUUUCAACCAAUCCUUCUUGAUUUAGGUUUCCUUGGACAUUUUGAUUGGUGUACAUCUGUAGGACCAAUGUAAGUGUGUCAACUCAUUUAAUUCUUCAUAAUCAGCUUCACAUCGAGAUAAUAAGUUGGAUAAUGAAGUACAAACUCGUCCAUAGGCCUCCCGGUGUGAUUUGGGCCUCAAAACACAAAUUCCCAUCAAGAGUCAGAUUCGCGCGCAGAUUGACCUUAUGGUACUAAAUUGGCCAUAACUUCUUCUAGGAAAAUGAUAUUAACGUAAAAUGCUAUGGAAAGCUGACAUCCGUAACUUUCCGUUGAUAUAAGACUCAUCAUCUGGUUCUCGUAGUUGGCUGACUUUCAAAGGCAGAUUUCUGAAUUUCGUCUUCCACUCCCUCUUUUCCUUCUUUUUUUCUUAUUUGCUUCGGAACACCUAGAAAACAAAUAAACAAAGUAAAUAACUAGAAAAUACACCGAACAAACAAAGAAAGUAUAGAGGAUUUUGAUACAAAUAAUGUAUAAUUAUGCACCUAUCAAAUACCCUUCCACCGACUCAAUCUCUUCAAGGAUAUCUCCUUGCAAUACUGCGUUGUGAAGCUUUCGAGAAGUAGUCUGGCUCUUUCUUCUUCUCGCCAUCUACAUCAAACCAAUCAGCUAUAUCCGACCACCUUGCCAUGGAUUUCGAAUUACAAGUUGUAAAUUCAUGUACUUAUAUGAUAGUUUUGAAUCUUGAGACACCAUAAUUCUCAAUCGAGAAAACUUCAUGUACUCAACUUAAAAUUUUCUCUUGCAACAAUUGGAAAAUCCCACAAACUCCCUUUUCCAUCUAAUCAUAAUUAUGCUUCUUCUCUUUUUGAUAUUAUUCACAGUGAUAUGUGGCAGUCCCCAACUUUAUCUUUCACUGACUUCAAAUAUUACGUACUCUUCACAGAUGAGUACUCUCGAUACACUUGGAUUUAUCCAAUGAGCCGGAAAAAUGAACUCCUCACACAUUUUCAAACCUUGGUUGCUAUGAUCCGGAAUAUUUUCAAUGGCUCGGUGAAAUAUCUCCAGAGUGACAAUGGAACAUAAUAAGUAAACUGAGCAUUCUCUCACUAUUAUGUGUCCUUAGGUAUCCAACAACGCUUCUCUUGUCUCUAUACCCCACAACAAAAUAAACUUGUUAAAAGAAAGCACCGCCUUAUUACUACAAUGGCACCUACGUUACUUUUAAACUCAUCCAAAUUUGUUUUACUUCUCACUUCUAGCAUUCCUUAAGAUCUUUGGGCCAAGGCUGUUUUGACAUCAACUUACAUCAUUAAUCUUCUUCCAACCUCUACUCUCAAAUGGGACUCUCCCCACAAACGUCUUUAUGGUCAUUCUUCUUCUUAUUCCUCUGUUCGUGUUUUUGGGUGUUCUUGUUUUCCUCAUCUUAGUCCUCUCUCUUCUAACAAAUUGUCUAAUCAAAAUGUCGAGUGUGUCUUCAUUGGUUAUAGUCCUCACCAUAAAGGUUAUCGUUGUCUUAUCCAAAAAUCAAUCGUGUCUAUAUUUCACGUGAUUUCCCUUAUACAAAAUUGCAAGUUCACACAAAUUCCGAUCCAAUAGAAUUUUUAACUUAUUCCUUCCUCCGCAGGUCCAACUCCCGAGCUCAUGGUCAUCCCCAUCUGACUCAGGCCCAAGUCCGCCAUCUCAAUCCAAUCCACAAGACCCAUCACUCAAUCUUGUCAAAUUGACUUCAUCUUUAAUUCACACCCACUUGAAGAACAACAAACAAUCGACCUCAUCUCAUCCUUAGCACCGACUCGGCCCCUCCCCGGCGCCUCCCGUACUCCACCCUCAUCCCCAUCAGCGCCCACCUCUGAUCGCCGUCGCUCUCUUCCAUUAGCGACGACACCACAGCCGCUUCUGUCUUCUCAGAUUGCAGCAUCUCCACCUCCAAUUUCGCCACCAAUCAUCACCACCUACCAGCGACAAACCCAACCCAUCCCUCCACCACCACCUUCGCCACCAACCUCCACUCCCUCACACCUAUCGCCGUCGCCCACACCCACCGCCUCCACCCCAUAAUCCACCACCAGAAUCAACACUAAACUCAUCUGCUCCACCUGAAGCUCCGCCCAAUUUGGAUGAGUAAAACCCUCUGUUGUUGGAUAGCCCCCAACCUCACCUCCAAAUCCCCCUGCCAUCGCUCCGCCAAUGCAUACCCAGUCUCGUUCCGGCAUCUCCAAACCACACAUUUUCAAGGAUGGCACUGUCAGGUACCCAAUUCUGAAAGCUCUUCUCAUUGUAAUUACUGAUGCGGAACCUACUUGCUACUCACAAACAUCUAAGUCACCGGAGGGCGAAACGCCAUGACCGAGGAGAUAAAUGCACUCUUGAAAAACCAAACCUGGACUCUUGUACCACCUUCUCCCUCUCAGAACAUUGUCGGUUGCAAGUGGGUGUUCAGAAUUAAGCAUCAUUCGGAUGGCUCAAUUGACCGCUACAAAGCACGCUUGGUUGCCUAAUGAUUUCACCAACGCCAGGGCUUCGAUUAUGAGGAAACAUUCAGCCCAAUUAUUAAACCGGCGACUACCCGAACAGUCCUUGCUAUUGCGGUCUCUAGGGGCUGAAAUCUUCGUCAAUUUGAUGUUAAGAAUGCCUUAUGUGGGUGCAAAUAUUUUCAACACGGGUUUUUACGUAUUUCUUCAUGACGAAUUAGCUAUAUUGAAAGUGUAUUUGCUUCGCGGUGAAUCAUGUCGUGGUCAGAAUGUAGUCUCGGCCCAAAUCAUACCACAAUAAAUUGAGUUAUCAUGUAGUGUGGGGGCAAAUAAAUUUUGGUAUGGGGUUUUGAAUAUAAGUUAGUAAGACAAAUUAUACACGAAUAAAUUGGUCACGAUCGUGGGCCGUGAGUAUAAUGAGAUGGGUAGUAGUUGAAUUAGGUUACGGAAGAAUUGGGUUGAGGGAAGAGAUCAAAUAAGACUAAUAUUCAAAUCACAGUCAAGAGUACCGGAAAACAUCAAGGGAGAACGUGAUGAAGAGGGAGGCUGAUUAAAACGUGACCAUGAGGAAAUAAAUCACAUUGUGGAUAAGUCACGACGUGGUCGAAUCACGUUAUGGUCAAAUUGGGUCUCGGUCAAAUCUGGUAUGGCCAAAAAGGUUUGGGUCCCAACCCGACCACGAAUGGAUUGGGCCGUGAGUGAAUUGUGUGGCGGCCAAAUUAGGUUGUAAACAAAUGGGAAACUUCCAUGGGCCAUGAGCAGAACGCAAUAGCUAACGGUUGAAUCAGGUUGCGGGUGAAUUGGCUCGCGAUACGCGCUGACCAAGUCAAGACGGGAGAGAUCAAACGAGACUUAAAGACAAGCCCUAAGGCAGAAUGUGGCGGCGAAGAAGGUUAUGGAGUAGUGUUGAAUGGGCGUGACUUAGUGGAAGUUGGCCACUUUGAAGAUAUAUCAUGUAGUGGUGGAUCACGUGGUGGUCAAGUUAGGUUUGGGCCAGAUAGGGUGUUGGUCAAAUCAAGUCGCGUGAGAUGAAGACACGGAGGGAACGAGUCGAGGACGAAGUGAAAUAGAGCUGGUCAACAAGAAAAAUUGGGGAACGGAGUUUCCCAUAAUGUCCAUUAUAUGAAGUUGUGGAUCCACUCGCGCUUAACUAGCGAGUAAAGCGCACAACAUGAUCUGACCUAGGAGUCACGACUAUAAAUGCAACAUGAAUAAGAUCUGAAGAGGGGGAGUCCUAGCAAAAUCAGUCACACAAACCCAUAAUAUACCUCUUUCGAGAUUCUAGACCAGGAGAUAUACCGUCACCAUUCAAUUUCCGACCCAUUUUUACAUCCAUUAUUGAAAAAGCUUUCAUUCCUGCUCUAGUCAAAAGUGGUUAGUGAGGAAAUCUUUCACCCGAAUUUUUCCGCACCAACACCUUCCUACAAGGGUUUCUCAAAGAAGAUGUUUAUAUGACACAACCUCCUGGCUUUGUCGAUCCUAACCAUCCCACAUAUGUCUGCAAGCUGCAUAAAUCACUAUAUGGCCUAUAGCAAGCUCCCCGAGCCUGGUUUCACCACAUCAGUAUCUUUCUUUUGUCCGCUAGAUUUCGACAAAGUAAGGUAGACCAUUCUUUGUUUAUCUUUCAUCAUGGAUCCCAUACAAUUUACCUGCUUCUUUAUGUGGACGAUAUUGUAGUCAUUGGUAGUCAUGACCGAAUCGUUGAGAGCUUCAUUUAUGCUCUUAGCCGCGGUUUUGACAUCAAAGAUUUGGGACCACUCUACUAUUUCCUUAGCUUACAGGUCUCCUCCUCCUCCACUGGUCUUCACGUUGAUCAACUCAAAUAUGCUCAUGACCUCCUUCAGAAGCAUGAUCUACUCCUCAAUCAACCAAUGAGCACACCCUUGGCGGCUAUUGAUGGCGAAGCCUCCUCUCAAGGCUAUUGAUGGUGAGCUCCUUGCCAACCCAACUAUCUUUCGUGAACUUGUUAGGUCACUCCAGUACCUCACCAUCACACGCUCAGACAUUUCUUUCGCCGUUAACUCUAUUGCCCAGUAUAUGAGUCAGCCUCGUACCACUCAUCUCAUUGUUGCCAACAGAAUUUUGUGCUACAUCAAGGGUAUUCUUGAUCAUGGACUCUCAUUUCGUCCUCAACAUCAUCCGGUGCAUCUUUUUGCUUACUCAGACGCAGAUUGGGCUGGCUGCUUUGAUUCUCGCCGCUCCACCUCUGGUUAUCUUGUCUAUCUUGGUUCAAAUUUAAUAUCAUGGUGCUCCAAGAAGAAACCCACUGUGGCUCAUUCAAGUGUUGAACAAGUGCUGAAGAUGAGUAUCGCUCUCUUGCACAUGCCUCGACUGAAACAACCUGUUUAGGCUAUUUAUUAUUUGAACUUGGCGUGCACAUUACACUUCCUAUUAUGCUUCAUUGUGAUAGUCUAAGUGCAACCUACAUGACCUCUAACCCGGUAUUCAUGCCCGCACCAAACACCAACCUACAACUUUGUUUGUGAAAAAGUUGUUCUUGGCAGCCACCGUGUUUGUUAUAUUCUUUCGGUUGAUCAACGAGCUGACCUUCUCACAAAUCCUCUUUACAAACAUCGCCAUAAUCAAAGAGUAAAAUAUCGCAUUUCGAGGAUAUAUCGACGAUCUAAAAAUUAGAAAUUUCGAGGAGAUAUCGAGACUAUGAAAAUUUAAAUAUAUCAUAUAUAUGAAGUUCAUAUUCAUUCGUAGAGUAUAAUGCUGAAAUGUGGUUGGUAGUUUGUAAAUAAGUUGCAAGUAUUAAAAAUAUAUUCGUAAUAGAAGAGUGUGUGUGUGUAUAUAUAUUAUAUAAGUUGUAAGUAUUAACCAAAUGCAAACUCAGCAGAGGUGGUUAACCUUGAAGAGUUAUUCAAGGGUGACUAGGGUUCGAUUCCCAUGAACUGAGUUUAGGGUUUAGGGUUUAGGGUUCGAUUCCCGUCAGCAAUUUAACUGAGAAAAUUGACGGAAUGACUAUUUGGAUGAAAAAUCGUGAUUUUAAGAACCAUUCAGAUUCAAAUAAAACCACAAGGACUGAACAGAUGUCGACUUCAAACCACAAUGACUAUACAGUAUUUUACCCUUGAUUCAUUGUAAUUACUCCAUUUAUUUAUGUCCAUAAUCUCAUUGUAAUUGUAGAUCAAACACAGCUAUAUAGCUUGUACUUGUAAUCAGUUUCAGGUAAAGGAAAACACAAUUCUACAAUUUCUACACUUAGCGCGCAUAUAGUGAGUGAUGUCUGAAAGUUACAUCUACAAUGAUACGGAAACAUCAAACAUGUUUGAACAAGGUACUGCCAGUAGAAAAUGAAACAAAUUCCGAGUUGCUAUAUAUAAGUUGUUCUUUUGUUCUUUGAUUGUGUGAAUGGGGUUAUUUCCCCUCUGUUGUUUGCCAGCUAUGUGGUUCUUAAAGGAAAAGAUGUUUUGGCUGAAUGAAUAAUUGUAUUCAACUGUGAGAUAUAUAUACAAAGCACCUAGUCUACAUCGCUUGUAGGAUACCAGUAAGGCAAGACAUCUAUCACAAUUACAACUGAAUCAAAAGAUUGAUUCAUACUAUACUACGGAAUCACACUACUUAAUACAAUAUUCUUGCAUAUCAAGAUAAUAUCUAUACAAAUCUACAAGAUAUACUUUCCAACACUCCCCCUCAAGUUGGAGAGUGUAUAUCAAUAACUCCCAACUUGCACAUGAGUUGUCUAAACUUUUCUUUGCCCAAAGCUUUUGUAAAAACAUCUGCCAAUUGUUGUGAAGAAAUCACAAAUCGAGUAUUAACUUCACCUUCAACAAUUUUAUCCCGAAUAAAAUGACAAACCAUUUCAAUAUGUCAAGUUCUCUCAUGAAACACAGGAUUUUUAGCAAUGUGCAAAGCAGUUUGAUUAUCACAAUGUAAAACAGCAGGACUCAUAACAGGCAUAUGCAAAUCUGCAAAUAAAUAACGUAGCCAAGUAAGCUCACAGCAAGUACCUGCCAUUGCUUUGUACUCAGCUUCUGCACUUGAUAAAGAUACAGUCUUUUGCCUCUUGGUCCUCCAUGAAAUUAAAGAAUUUCCCAUAAAUACACAAUAGCCUGUAGUAGAGCGGCGGGUAAUAGGACAACCCGCCCAAUUAGAAUCGCAGAAAGCCUUCAGAUUUAAAUAGUUAUUGGCAUGGAGAAGUAAACCUUGACUAGGAGAAGACUUCGGGUAACGAACAACUCGAAGAGCAGCAGUCAUAUGUUGUGAGCGAGGUUCAUGCAUAAACCGGCUAAGAAUAUGUACUGAGUAUGUAAUGUCGGGUCUAGUAAUGGUCAAAUAAAUCAGCCGACCAACCAGGCGCCGAUAUGCAGCAGGGUCUUUGAGUAAUUCUCCUUUAUUUGAAAGCUUGGAUUCUUCCAUUGGAAACUCAACCGGCUUAGCACCCAAGUAGCCACUAUCUUUGAUAAUUUCCAAGGUAUAUUUGCGUUGAGAUAUGUAAAUCUUUUUCUUGGAACGAGCUACUUCAAUGCCAAAGAAGAAUUUUAGAUCACCAAGAUCUUUGAUGCGAAAACAAGUAUGGAGGAAUUGCUUCAGAGCAUUAAUAGACUCCAUAUUGUUUCCUGUUAUCAGAAUGUCAUCCACAUAUAUUAACAAAACAGUGAAAGAUGUACCAUGCUUGCGAACAAAUAAAGAAUAGUCAGCCUUGGACUGAGAGAAACCAGCAGCAAGAAUAACCUCCGUGAACUUGGAAAACCAUUGACGAGAGGCCUGUUUCAGUCCGUACAACAACUUGUGAAGGCGACACACUAGAUUCUCCCCCUGUCGCUGAAGACUAGGAGGAGGGGACAUAUAAAUUUCCUCUAGUAAAUCACCAUUCAAGAAAGCAUUAUUAACAUCUAAUUGAUGUAAAGACCAGUUCAGACUAGCAGCAACAACAAGAAGACAUCGGACAGUGAUCAUUUUUGCAGUAGGGGAAAAAGUAUCGUGAUAAUCGAUACCUGCAGUCUGAGUGAAGCCCCGAGCAACAAGCCUGGCCUUAUAGCGCUCCACUGAACCAUUAGCCUUGCGCUUGAUUCGAUACACCCAUUUACAACUAAUAGGCCGCUUUCCGGGAGGUAAAGGAACCAUACUCCAUGUCUGAUUAUCAACAAGAGCUUGAAGCUCAGAAUCCAUAGCCUCCUGCCAUUUCGGAUCAGUUACAGCAAUUUCAUAAGAGGUCGGUUCCUCAUCCCGACUAACAUUAGCAAUAUAACGAAGAUAUGCAGGAGAAUACCGAUCAUAGGAUAUGUGGUGACAAAGAGGAUAUUUCGUACUUGGUGUAGAACAAGACGAGGCCGAGGACAAUUGGUGUGGUGGCAGAAUCACCUGAGAGCAAACAUAGUCUCUGAGGCGAACAUUGGCUUCUCGAGAGCGUUGAGAACGACGAAGUGGCUCAGCGGGAACAAUGGGAAGAGAGUCAGGAACAGCAGAAUCAAUUGAUGGUUGCUCGGGAGGAAGAUCAAUCGACCUAGGUGGAGGAAGAGAAGACGACACCGACGGAGGAAGAGAGGACGCCGACGGAGGAAGAGAAGACGCCGACAGAGGAAGAGAAGACGCCGGCGGAGGAAGAGAGGACGACGCCGGCGGAGGAAGAGGUGAUGACGCCGGCGGAGUGUUAGGGUUUUACCCCUGAGAAGAGAAAAGAGGGAGAACAGAAGGAAGAAAGAAGAAAAUAAAAGAAAUACUGAUAUAUUUUCAUUGACAAUGAGCUAAAGCUCCUGAUGGCAAUACAUACCCAUUGGCUAAUCACGUGCGCAACACAUGACAAAAUGAGUGAAAUAUCGUAACAAUCCAUGCCCCUUUAGCAAACUUGACCUCAAGUUUCAAUUAUAAGAGACAUUGCAAGUAAAGCAACUCAAAUCUAGACCAAACAGCAUGAACCAGAAGGGAAAACUUCAAAGCUGCAAUUCUGAGAUCAACACAAUAUCCUUGGCACCCUUGCCAAUCAGUCAACCUGCAUAUGUAAAAUGACAUUCUGGAAGCCUUGAGUUUAAACAACCACUUGCGAGCUAGCUUAUCAUCCCCAAAAGUGAUCAUCCAUACCUUUUCACUGAAUAUAGCAAUGUUGUCCAUAGCAGCAUGUCUGAACAUAUCACCAUUUCUAAAUUUAUUCAAGUUCUUCAGUCUGUCUACACAGAAAGCUAGCAACUCAUUCAAUUCUACUGAGGUCUUAAUUCAAGUUCUCUGAGGCUGCAAGUAGGCAUCACAUUCAAAGCAAUGCUUUAUGGCAACUUGCUUAUGAAAAUCUUCAAUAACGCCAACUACAUCAUACAUUUCUUGGACAUUUACAUUUCCACCACAUGUGUUUGACAUCUCAAUAAUUUGGUCCUUGACAUGCACUUGAACCCCGAUGUAGGCAGAUUGAUGGAGAUCAAAAGUCUUACCAUCAUCAAUACCAGCCAUUAUAUAAAUAGUGUCUGAAGACCCUCCUUCCUUCUCCUUAUUAGCAACCUCAAAUUUCUUGUCCUUGACAACAAUUACAAAUACCGGCUCAACCACAUAAAAGAAAGUUGAAUGAGGAGGUACCACUAUCAACGCCGGCCAGGCCUCUAAUGCACCCAUUGCAUACUCAGAGAACAUAAUCACAAGAGCUAUCUCACCCUUUCUCAUUGUCAUGACUACAACUUUGUCAUCUUCCAUAGUGACUUGCUCUACAUCUAUGUUGAACUCACAUGGUUCUUCUCUUUCCCCAUGAUCCUUCAAAAGUUCCUUACUAUCCUGCAAUUUCCCAAUCCAUUCCAUUGUAACAACAUCCCUUUCAUUUGGACGUCCAUUCCCCUCCAGUUGUAGCACCUUCUUAAUAACUUUCUUGUCAACUAUCCAUUCUGGAACUGUGUCCCAUGAUACCAACUCUAGAAUAAUAUGAAGAGUUGCACUUGGAAAUUUAGCUUCCCCAUCACCAGAAGUAUGCUUAACUUGAUCCCCACAUAUAUAUACAAACAUGGAAGGAAUACUAUCAGCUACAAUAAUAGACAUCAAUUUACUUCUCAAAGCAAGAGUUGUACCAACAUUUGAAGAUGUAGCAGUAACCUCAAACAACACAAAUUUGUCUAUGCAAACUGAGUCACCCAGAUUAGGUCCAGUAGCUAACUUUUUUACAAGCUCCAAGGCAUAUAAAACAUAUCCCAAGCACUUGCCAUCUAACUUCAUAUGGUUUUCAUGAAAUAUCUCACACAAUUCUGCAGUACAGUAAUCAUUUGCAACAAUUAUUGUAGAUUUUCACCGUCCCCAAAUGUCAUCAAACAUCAAACAAAACUCCUCCCAACAACUUUGUGAUUUCACAAUGGUCUCAACAACAUUGACUGCUCCGAAACUAAAGUUGGUACUACUGGAGUAUACCUUAGUGUAGGCAUUCCUUGGCUUCCUCAAAGGUCUUAAUGCGGCUAUCCAGUUGGAAAGACUUACCCAAAGCCACAUACAUGUAGACUCUUUAUCUAGUACAAGAUGUUCUUUUGUUAAGAGAGAGCGGCCACUACCUUUAUCACUAACCUUCUUAUCAAACCCAGAGGAGCAUGGUAGCAGUACAUAAUGACAAAUCUUCUUUGGGCAUAUCACAAUCACCAUAGAACAUAUACCCAUGUCAUAGUUGAUUGGCACUGAUGAAAACGGCUCAGAAACAAAUUGUUGUUGUACCUUACUACCUCCCAUUAUCACAACUUCCACCUCCUGCUCCACUGAAUUAUCAUUACUUUCAAGCUUGGCAGGAUUGCAGUUAUCUUUAGUCUCUAAACAGCCGGAUAAAUUGACCACACUGUCAGGAACCAAAACCUUCUCAAUGGCGUCACCCAACACAUUCUCAUCGAACCUUCUACAAAUGACCCUUGCCUCUCCAGUGAUCAUAAUCUCAAUCACAUGAUUUAGUCCACUAAUUACCAUACCAUCAUUGUGAACUUUUUCCCUGGGAACAAUAGUAAGCUUAUCAUUUCUAACAAGUUGAGUGCUAAGCUCCAGCUUUGAUAUCGCAUGGCCAUCAUCAACUUCAUCAUCUCUCCCAACAGAUUUGUCAAAAUACUCAUCCUCUUCUUUAUAAUUCAUCCAAAUUGCAUAUUCUAAUGGUUGGUGAACAUGUCCCCCCACCUUUGUCCCGGAUACUCGUAAGAGUAGAAUUGGUCCUUCUUGCAUUACACAACUCAUUUGACUUGGACAUUUCAUCAAGCAGGUGGAGUGCAUCGCAUUCUCUCUCAUUUUCACCCAAAUUCAGUCCUUGAAUAUCUUGCCUAACCGUAACACCCUCAAGCUCACUGAGUUUUUUACCAUCUCCAUUGUCCAUCUUAACUUUCAUAUCAGAUUUCCUCUUCUCAUCAUCACAAAUCACAUCAACUCCAGAUAACUUAGCACCAGGCACAUAAUCAAUACCACCACAACCACUGUUCAUGAUGAAACUAAAAUUAGGAAUACUAGAGCUAGUACCGCUUACCAGCCCAAAAGAUGUAGGGUUGUGGUUCGACUGAGCCAAGAUGGCAUUGUCUAGCAGAAGCGAUGCAGCUAAACUCCGGAAAUUGAGCUUCUGGUAUUUGCCAGUCUUGUGGAGCGUGGAUGCUCCCAGCCUAGAACUGUGCGGUUUCUUCACUCCUCCAUUGGCCCUCAUCGAUGUGCGAGCAACUUCCUUGCAGCGAGCCUUCCAUAGAUAAGAGUGAACAAUGGGAAUUGUGGUUUCGGAAUCAGAAAGUGGAGUUGACGAGUGCUCCUUUGGUGGUUGCUGCGUCGAGAAUGGUGGUGGUGUCAACUGAGAGGUUCGUCCCAAUCGAAAUUGAUCGAACACAUUUUGCAUCACCUUUUCCAUCUCGGACUUGAACGACGCCAGAGUCUUGUCCAAUUCAAGUCGAAACGCAGCUUCCUUUUCCUUCAUAAUUUGUAGCGUCUCUUCCUUAUCAAUUAAGAGUAUCCUCCUAAACUCAAUUGGAUCUAGUGGACGUGGCGGCGAUGAUGAGCAUAGUGGUGGAUUACUAGCGCCUCUCGUCCUCAUGAACCCAAGCCUAGCGCUCAUUUCCUCCCGAUGCGCCUAGAGCUCAUACUCAGAGUUAACAAGCUCGUCGGACACAAGAGGUUCGACGCCGAGCGGGGGAAUCGCCGGUUGCCUAGCUCCCAGAAACAUGGCUCUGGAUACCAAUUGUUAGGGUUUUACCCCUGAGAAGAGAAAAGAGGGAGAACAGAAGGAAGAAAGAAGAAGAAAAUAAAAGAAAUAUUGAUAUAUUUUCAUUGAAAAUGAGCUAAAGCUCCUGAUGGCAAUACAUAUAGACCCAUUGGCUAAUCACGUGCGCACCAUAUGACAAAAUGAGUGAAAUAUCGUAACACAGAGGAAGAGAGGAAGACAUCGGCGCUGGAACCCGAGGGUGGCGAACAUAGGUGUUAAUGGUGGAGGGCAGCGGUGGACGGGGUGGUGAAGAGGACGAUGGCGGAUUGGGUGGCGGAGGGGGCGAAGGCGGCGAAUUGGGUGACGGAGGGGGGGACGACAGCAGAUUAGGUGAUGUUGAAGGUGGCGGUCGAUUUGCUUAAGGAGAGGAAGAGAAUGUGUUCUGUGUGGAAUAGGAUGGACCGAGGAAAGGAUCAAGUUCAAUAGGGAGAGGAAUGGGUUGGGCCAUUGGGUAUUUUUCUGGGCUUGGGCUUGGGCUUGGGCUUGUACUUGGUGCGUGGUGAAACUUGUCCUCAAGAAAGAUUACAUCUCUAUUAGUGAAAUUUUUUUUCUUCUCAAUAUCAUAGAGCUUGUAAGCCUUCUGUCCCAUGGGGUAACCCAAAAAUAUGCACUUGGUAGCACGAGGAGAAAAUUUGGAAGACGGAUUGGGUAUGGUUGCGAAAGCAAUACACCCAAAAACUCGCGAGAAUAAUCAUGAAGUUUUUGGUGAAGGAUUUCAAAAGGUGUUUUCUUGUGAAGAAACAAGGUGGGAAGACGAUUGAUUAUAUAGACAGCAGUGAUGGCACAUUCACCCCAAAAAUCAAUGGGUAGAUGUGAUUGAAAACGAAGAGCACAAGCUGUUUCAAGGAUGUGUCGAUGUUUCCGCUCGACGACACCAUUUUGUUGCGGUGUAUAAACACAAGAACGUUGAAAAAGAACACCUUCUUCAAGAAAUUUUUUUUGUAAUGAAAGGAAUUCAGCCCCAUUAUCUAAAGGAAGUUGUUGGACUCUUGUGUUGAAUUGAGUGUUUACAUAACUAAAAAAAUGACGAAGUAGAGGUUGUGUUUCACUCUUGUGUUGCAUUAAGAAAAUCCAUGUAAAACGUGAAAAAUCAUCCACAAUAGUUGAGAAAUAAUGAGCACCAGAAAGAGAAUGGGUUUUAUAACGUCCCCAAAUAUCACAAUGAAUAAGAGAAAAACACUUCGAAGUUGAAAUUGAACUGAAAGGAAAAGGUUGAAGAGUUUGUUUUGCCAAUGGACAAACCUCGCAUUUAUGACUAGAAUCAAAAGCAAAAUUAAGAGAAUUAUUGGCUAAAAAUUGCGGACGAUAAGAGGAAAGGUUGGCCAAUCUUCGAUGCCAAAGAUCGGAGGUGAUGUAGGACGGAUGGCCGAAGAAAUCGAGGAACAAAUUGAUCGUUGCAGGUCCAAACCCGGUUUGCUGCAGAUUUGGCGUUCGGUGUCCGAAUGACUAUUAUUAUACCUUUUUGGAAGCGGAACGGCCCAAUGAACAAGAUUUGUUGCUUUGCUAUGAUGUAUGGGCUUUUCGGCCAUCCGAGUUUGUUUUGGACCUCAAAUCAGCGUUUUAUUAGUUUUUGGGAUUUUAUGUUUCCUAGUUCUUUUCGGAUUGUGUUUUGAUUCAAUCCUUGGGCUUUUAGGUUUGGUUGUUAGUCGCCCUAGGGUUUUGUUUUCCAUAUAUAAGCACCCUUUUGGGUAGCUGACAUUCAGUUUAUUAAUUAUAAUUCAGAAUUUAAGAGUUUUACUCUUAGUCCCUGGCGCGCUCCAGGUUUUGGUCCUAUAGAGUUCUUCGCUUGAAGACUCUCCACAUAUUAGGGUUUAACGCUGGUUAGCCCCCCAUACUCCUGCUGCGUCAGGAGGAUAUGAUGAUAUUGCAAGCAAAGUGAGAUGAAGGUAAAGUUGAAGCCAAGGCCACCAGGUAGUAGAGGUUACCAUGUCACUUACCCACACCAAUCAUCGUCCUCGUAACCAAGUCCUGUAAAAUACACCAAGAUGGAAAAAAUGUCACUGAACAAUGUAAAUCAUCGGUUGUUUUGCCAACAGACAUAAGGUCAACUUGAAAACUUGGCACACAAAGGACAUCAUUUAAUUGAAAAGAAUCAUUAAAGCGAAUUGAUCCUGUCAUAGUAAUUCCAGUCGUAUCUCCACUAGGUAAAGAAACUGGUGCCAAAGAAUGAUGCUUGACAUUUAUCAAUGACGUAGGAGAAGAAGUAAUAUGAUGAGUUGCUCCGCUGUCGAGUAUCCAGUGAUUUGGAGCAACAGGUAACAAACCUGUAGCAUGUUCAGUUGCAGAAGUAGCAUUGGCUUGAGGAAUUUGUGGUGUAGGAGUCAAGGCAGCAAUUACUUGAGUGUACUGAUCCUCAGUGAGGUUAGGAAGCAUUCCUUGGAGUUCCUUGAAUGUUGGGGCAGCAUUGACAUGAUUAUCCACGUUGACAUGGUUAACAGUGGAAUUUCCUUGACGUUGCCUUGCAGAAUUAGCUUCCUUAGGGCCUUUGUAGAGACGAUGACCAGGAGGGUAACCAUGCUUUUUAUGGCAAGUUGCUUCAGUAUGAUAAUCUCGAUCACAAUAAGUGCAAUGCUUGAUUGGGGCAUGAGGACGGAAGUUAUUUCCUUGAGUAUAGCCUUGAGUGUUGCCUCGAUUCCCUUGCAUCUGAGAUUGUGAUUUGGAGUUGCUGCGCACCGCCAUUGCUGCGGUGCUGGAUGAAGCAAGAAGAGAGGAACCAAGUUCCCGUUGCUUUUCUUCUUGGACAAGGGAAGCAUAAGCUUGUCUCACCGAAGGCAAAUGAUUCAUCAACAAAAUCUGUCCACGAGUAGCAGCAUAAGAUUCAUUUAAUCCCAUAAGAAAUUGCAUCAACUUACUGCGAUCGUUUUGUGCUCCACAGGUGCAGGUGACAGUAUUGUAUGAACUAAGCUCAUCCCAAAGGCCUUUCAGCUUCGUGUAGUAUGCUGCAAUGGAUGAUUGACCUUACUCAAUGCGGUAAAUGUCUCUUUGAACUUGAAAUAUACGAGGGGCGUUGCCUAACGCAAAUCUCUCUCGAAGAUCUUCCCAAACAGCAUGUGGUGUGGUUCAAGAGAGUUAAGCAUCCAUGAAAGCACAAUGUCAUUGCACCUCUGCCAUAGUGCGUGUUCAUUGGGGUCUAGGUCUGCAGAUGGCUCUUUGAUUUUGCCGGUGAUGAAGCCAAUUUUGUUUUUGGCACUCAGAGAUAUGCGCAUAGCGCGACACCAAGAAUUGUAGUUGUCACCUGUCAAUUUCUUGGAAACAAGAAGCAGACCUGGAUGGUCUGAAUGAUGAAGAGACAAGGGAUUAGCUGAUUUAUCCGAGGAGGAUGAACCACCGCUCCCAUGGUUUGAAGAAAAGGUAUCGUCUCCGGGCAUGGAGGAAUAUGUGAAGACAAAGAAAGGUUAAGGCUGCAAAAGGGUUUGUUGCUGAAGGAAUAAAAGUCAGGUCGUUAUGCCUGCUCUGAUGCCAUAAAGGAAAAGAUGUUUUGGCUGAAUGAAUAAUUGUAUUCAACUGUGAGAUAUAUAUACAAAGUACCUACUCUACAUCGUGUGGUUCUUCCUACAAGUUAGGAUACCAGUAAGGCAAGACAUCUAUUACAAUUACAACUGAAUCAAAAGAUUGAUUCAUACUAUACGACGGAAUCACACUACUUAAUACAAUAUUCUUGCAUAUCAAGAUAAUAUCUGUACAAAGCUACAAGAUAUACUUUCCAACAGUUCUUGCCUCGAGACUCGAGUGUUUUAAUUUGGUGUCUAGUGUUCUAUUUGAACUGUGUGCUCUUCGAUUAUCCUCAUUAUCCUCUACUUGUUUUUUUUCUUAAGAGUAACUAUUGCUAAUGAGCUGCAAAUUCUUGUGUAUGUAUAUGCUCUAGCAUUGUNNNNNNNNNNNNNNNNNNNNNNNNNNNNNNNNNNNNNNNNNNNNNNNNNNNNNNNNNNNNNNNNNNNNNNNNNNNNNNNNNNNNNNNNNNNNNNNNNNNNNNNNNNNNNNNNNNNNNNNNNNNNNNNNNNNNNNNNNNNNNNNNNNNNNNNNNNNNNNNNNNNNNNNNNNNNNNNNNNNNNNNNNNNNNNNNNNNNNNNNNNNNNNNNNNNNNNNNNNNNNNNNNNNNNNNNNNNNNNNNNNNNNNNNNNNNNNNNNNNNNUGAACAAAUGGAAUGAGUUAUCAGUUACGUGAGAUGAUGUGGCUAAUGGAUUGAAUUGCUGAAACCUCAUUUCCUUGUGCUGAUUUUUCAUUCAUUCGCAGAAGAUCAAAUUCCUUCAAGCUCUAAAACUCCGUGGUCAGGCAUGGCGAAAGAUACAAGGUAAUGGAUUGAAAGGAACUUCUUACAAGUAUAGUGGCUAGAAGUAGUUGAACUAGCUAGUUUCGGAUCAUGUCAAGUGUUUACUAGCUGAAACAUUAUGUUAUUCUUAUAGACCUCGUUGACAAUAACUCAAUAAGACUGGGGUUCAACAUUGAGGUCAUGCUCAGAAAAUCUUUUCUAAGGUUUCCUGCUCUUAUUCCAGUAUCCCAUAUUAUGUAUUUAAGCAAGUUAAAUUGUCAUGUCUCUUAGGCAAUGAUUCAUGCCUACAAGAUGUUCCAUAAUUCAUCCCCACCCACAAGAUGUUGAUCCGAUAUUAUUAUUCAAGACCAGUCAUCAUCAUGGCUUACAUUCCAACAAAAUAUGCUCUAAGCUGACCCUCAGCUCCCAUUCUCCGGACCACGUACAUACUAUUCAAGACGUUUCGAAAAGCUCAUAAGCUAUCAAUCAAAUCAAAGUUCAUAUGUAAUGCUUACUUUCUACGAACCAAAACUAACGAGACCUAAGUGCCAUCAUCGUUUACUUGUCUAUUAGCUUGUGGCCGGGGAAAAGCAUGGCCUCUCUGCUAAGUGUUUAUGCCAUUCACUGAGGUAGCAGUGGCCGAUCAAUUUGCCCUCUGCCUUCAUCUGGCAUAGGAAACCUCUUCUCAUGGACGGUUUCCACAUCCCUUGACUUUGUCCUACCCAAUAUUUCACUAAACAGGUCAAGUCCAUCUUCAGGAUUUCCCAGAAAACAAUGCCCCAAAAUCAUAGCAUCCCAGCAAACCAAGUUCCUAUAUGCCAUGAUCUCAAACACUUGCACCCUUUUGCAUUUACAAUAGAUUUCAAUCAAAGCCGUAACAAACAACUCUAUUCACCUCCAUGCAUGCCCUAAUCAGAUAUCCAUGAACUGGCCCCAAGCAUAUACAUUCACCGCUGUACUACUAUUACCCUUCACUCCCAUAUCCACCAUUCUCCUAAUCAAUGUGAACGCACACCCCACUUCCAUCCCUUUCCAAUACCCACCAAGGCACCAAUCAUAGCAUUCCAAGAUCGAAACCAUAGGCAUCAAACCAAACACCUUAUCCGCCUUAUUCAGAUCUCCAAAACUAGCAUAAGCAGACUCUUGUCACACUCUUAAGUUUGAAGUACUUUUGAUUAAAAACGGUGAUGCUCAGUGUGUAUAGAGAAAGCCUGUGAUUCGCAUUACAACUGGAAGACAAGCCUUGAUGAACUAUACGGCGGUGAUCUUGUUCUCUUAGUAGUUUGAUACUUUAAUAUAGAGUAUGCUUUACUUCACUCUUCUAAUUGUGUGUUAUCCAACUUUCAGGUGGGAUUGGAAUAUAAUAUUGCAAUCACACUUUCUUUGAUGCAUUCUUGUAGUGUAUUGCUUGAUGUGAACACAAGAAUUCUUCUGCUUGAUUGCUUCUGCUUGUCUAGCGACCAAACUAAAAACCCGAUUUCAGGUCAUCAGGGAAAACACAGCUUGCACACACUGUUUCUACUCAGGUUUGUCUUUCUAUAUAUGCAUAGGUUUUAGCAUACUGCGAAAUCUAGGCAUUACUGUGUGGUCUUUCACUAACUUAAAAAAAAAAAAUGAAAUUUGAGCAGUCUAAUAUUAAAUCUAUGUGAUUCAGUAUCAUAGAGUAUACUUACUAAGGGACAAUAUAUGGUUCUUCUCAUGAUAGAAUUUGGAAACCACCAAGCGAUAGUUGCAGUUUUCGUCCCACGCUGUCAUUAUAACUGAAGUUGAAAUGUCGGUACUACUUUUCCUUAUGAUUAAACUAUUGCAAUUGCAUUUUGAUUCAAAUAUUAUCCAGCCUUGCCUGCUUCUUUGAGCUUCCUAGUCACAUUCGCAUGGAGGGAAAGGAAAAGAUGCUAACACUGAUACUGAAGAAACUUUGUGUCCUUGGUUUUUUGUCCAUCCCCUUGAACAUUAACCUAUAGCAUUUUUCUAAUACAUAUGAUGGCCAAAACAUUAUCUUAAAUAAUUUCUACCUGAUCUGAUGUAUGUGUUUAUUUUAACUAAGUGCACUUCCAGUCGGCCUGAAAGACGUACUAGUACGAAUAGCUGAAAAUUUUGGUUUCAACCCAAGAGAUGUUCUCAACAAAAGCUGCUACUUUUCCAUAUUAUAUCCGUUGAACUAAUGAGACAAUUAAUUACUUCUACUAAUCUUGUCAUUUUCUGUCACAGCAAAAGAUUGUCUAUGUUCAUGCAUAUACAUAUGAGCAUCAGUAUAAUAUGUUUCUUGGUCUAGCUGAUCGAAAAAAUGGCUGAAGAGCCAUUCACACUUCUCUUAAAGAUUUUUACAGUCAAACUCCCUCCUGUGGUACAAAAGAUCUCGACAAUUUAUGAUCAUGUUUCAGGUUGUGGAUUCAGUGAUUGCACUCUUUCAAGUGGAUUUUAAUGGAAGAGGAGAACUUGUAGAUUGCCAGGUCAGUUUCACAUGUUCCCUACAAUGCUUAUACUCACUUGGAUCUUAUGUUCUAUUUUACUUUUUUUCAUACUUCUCAUGACAUGAGCAAAUAAUUAUGUGCAGAAAAAACCUGCAUAUAUGCUUUUCCAUUAAAUAAAGAAUGCUGAGGAAUUCAAUGUUGCUGUCUACAUAACCAACCAAUGUAAUCAUUGAACAAUAACCUGGUAUGAGGUGGUGAUAUAUUCAUAUAUAUGUCUUGGGGACUUGAUCCGAAAUUCCUGUGUUUAAAGUAAUCAAUGCAUGUCCUUUGGAGGCUUAUCUGUGAAUCAUACUGUUGUGCAGAAACAGCUUAUCCUGGUGGCAUUGUGUUCAUAUCAGGUCCAAAGAAACCAGCAGGACAUGUGCUAGCCCAUGCAACAACGAUGAGGCUCAUGUUCUGAAAGAAAAAGGCAAACAGCGAGUCUGCAAGGUGUUUGAUGCUCUAAACCAUCUGCCCGAGGCUGAAACAAUAUCCUUUACGUUUACCAAAUUGGUUUGCUGUGGUAUUCAUAAAGCCUGGAUCACUUGGUAUGAAAGUUUAUUCCCAUAACUGAGACACUAUAUAAUGAUGACUAGGGGGGCAGGUAUGUUGUUAUUCUUGACAAGGAGGCACAUUUUUCAGAUAACUGCAGGAGUCAUUGCUGAUGCACAGGACUGAAGGGCAAGGCCUUUCUGACACUAGAAGCACCAAAGUACGGUACUUUCCUGCCUAUAUAAUCCUAGAAUUUGUAAUGAUAUAUAGUUGCUAUAUGAUCCUUUAGUUUGGCAAACAUAAACAAACGGCCACAGCACAUAAUUGGGAAAUUUAGUGACUUCAUCCAUGUUGUGCAUAUCAUCUUGAAGUGCUUUUGUUAUUUGAUCUUGUUUCAAAUGCGGCCCUAUGUCUUAGUUUUGACAAUGAGCAACAUGCAAGCUAAUUGCCAGAUAAGCAUAGAAGAUGUUAAUUGAACAAGUUAUCUUAACUGUCAUGUUCAAUCAGUUGUGGUAUUAAACUUAUAAAACUUGAUGAAGUAACGCUUAAUUAGUUUAGGGAUUCAGGGUUUCUUAUUUGAGGCAUUUUAGCCAACACCUUUGCUGAUAAUCUCUUAAGAACACUGUUAAAUGUGAAGACGGCAAACUAAUUCUGUCCUUAUAGGCCAUAUUCCUUGGUAAUCUAUAUUCGAGUUGCUUCCCAAGUGUUCUUCACAGCUGCAUACACAUUAUGGGUAUUUGUUUGGCUGCUCAAUGGUCUUUUUCUUUAUAAAUUUAGGAUCUUGGAUAUAUUACUGGAACCGAUGCCCUACUCUAACCAAAGCAAGUUUAAAGCUGUUAUGAUUUUUAGUUGGCUUAGUUGAAUGGAACUGAUAUCUGAGCUGUCUGAUCAAAUUUACACUCUUACUCUUGAUUUAAAACUGUACGUGAUGCUCAGUGUGAAAUUGAGAAGUUAAAUUUUGUUUUUGUGUAUAGAGAAAGUUGUGAUUCGCAUUACAACCGGAAGACAAGCCUUGAUGAACUAUGCGGCAGUAAUCUUUCAAGUGGAUUUUUAAAGUCAAACUCCCUACUAUGGUACAAAGAUCUCAACAAUUUAUGAUCAUGUUUCAGGUUGUGGAUUCAGUGAUUGCUCUCUUUCAAGUGGAUUUAACUAGGAGAGGAGAACUUGCAGAUUGCCAGGUCAGUUUCAUAUGUUCCCUGCAAUGCCUAUACUCAUUUGGAUCUUAUGUUCUACUCUUUUUCCAUACUUUUAUCUUUCAUGACAUGAGAAAAUGAUUAUCUGCAUCAAAGACCUGCACAUAUGCUUUCCGGUUAAAUAAAGAAUGUAGAGGAAUUCAAUGUUGCUGUCUACAUAACUGGCCAUGGUAAUAUUGAACAAUUAUCAUGUAUGACUUGAUCCAAAAUUCCUAUAUGUUUAAAGUAAUCAAUGCAUGUCCUUUUGGAGGCUUAUCUGUGAAUCUUACUGUUGUGAAGAAACAGCUGAUCCUGGUGGCUAAGUGUUCGAUCAUGUCCAAAGAAACUAGCAGCAGGAGGACAUGCAGCAACAAUAAGGCUCAUGUUCUGAAAGAAAACGGCAAACAGCAUGUGUGCAGGGUGUUUGAUGCUCCAAACCAGCUGCCUGAGGCUGAAACAAUAUCCUUUUACACUUACCGAAUUGGUUUGCUAUUGUAUUCUGAAAGCCUGCAUCACUUGUAUGAAUUUAUAGUUAUAUAACUGAGACACUAUAAAAUGAUGACUAGGGGUAGCCGAUAUGUUGUUAUUCUUGACAACUAGGCACAUUAUUCAGAUAAAUGCAUGAGGCAUUGCUGAUGCAAAGGACUGAAGGGGAAGGCCUAUCUGAUACUAGAAGCACCAACAUACGGUAAUGUUUUAUUUUCCUGCUUAUAUGAUCCUAGAAUUUGGGGUGUGUGUGUGUGUGUGUGUGAUCCCCAAACGGCCAUAGCAUAUACUUGGGAAAUUGAGUGACUUCCUCCUUGUUGUGUAUAUCAUCUUGAAGUGCUUUUGUAAGUUCUGUUAUUUGAUAUUGUUUCAAAUGGGGCCAUAUGUCUUAGUUUUGACAGUGAGCAACAUGUAAGCUAAUUGCCAGAUAAAGAUAGAAGUUCUUAAUUGUCCUGUUCAAUCAGAUGUGGUAUUAAACUUUUAAAACUAGAUGAAGGUAACGCUUAAUUAGUUUAGGAAUUCAGGGUUUCUUCUUUGAGGCAUUUUAGCCAACACCUUAGCUCAUACUCUCUUAAGAACACUGUUAAAAUGUGAGAACGGCAAACUUCUAAAGUUUACAGGAGUUUGAUGUCUCACUGAUUUCAUAGCUAGGCACAAAAGCUCUAGAGUAAAAUUCUGUCCUCAUAGGCCAUAUUCCUUGGUAAUCUAUAAUCCAGUUGCUUCCCAAGUCUUUUUCACAGCUGCACACACAUUAUGAGGGUGAUGAAUCUAAUUCAACUACAGAACAAAGGGUUGUUUUCUAUAAACCAGCAUGUUGUUUACAUAUUCUUAUACAGAAUGACGCUAGUUGCUAUCAGAACUAUUGCAUACUUGACAAGUAACAUGUCUUUUCUACACUUGAUGAUAGUUAGCAUGUCAAUUUAAUCUGACAAAGAAGAGGUAUUUCAGAUAUUGGACAAAUGUUGGAUGGUGAUAUGUCGACUUGUCGUUUAUGCAACAAUAGUUGUGUGGAUAUAGGGAAUUAGUUUUUCCAGAUCUAUGUCAAUGAUGGAUCAUAUGCAUGGCUAAGUUGACUCCACCUUUUUUAUACAGUUCAAACCUGGUCUGGUCUAUUUUGGUUGUUGCACAGUCAAUUAGGUUGGACCAGGUUGGAGUCGACAUAUAUAGAAACUAAGGAACAACUUGAGCCUUGAGGAGCACCAGUGUCACAUUCAGAUGGCCAAGUGUUUAAACAAGUCGUUCUCGUCAGCUAGAAAAUUAGAUGGUGAAUAGGAUCAGAUGUAGUAUCAGAGCAACCAACAGAACCACAUACAAGAACUCUUCCUCACCGUAGAAAAGGACCAUUUAGUUUUGUAUCUAACCAGCUAAAAUAAGUGGCUGCCACUUUCAGGCCUCACCACUCAUCGCUCGCUUAUGCCUCAGAAGCGUGCUAUUCACUUGUCAGAUUUCCUGAAAACGAACUGUAACGAGGUUUUGUGUUGGUCAUACCAAGUUAUACUGAUUUCGUAGAAAAAAGCAAUCGUCUCUGAAAAUAAUGCUUGAUAAAAUAAUAAAACUAUAGACAGAUUACAUUCAAUUACAUUGUGAUCCAGAUAAAGCUACUUACCUGAACCUGUAAGCCUCUGGAGCACAUUUUGCCAAAUGCAGAAUGGGACUUUUUUACACAAGAAGGAAACUUCAAUAAAAUACAAUCUUAAAAAACCAGAACGUAAACCCCCCCCCCCCCCCCCAACCCCAAAAAUAAUAAUCAAGAUGUCAGAAAUUUUGGCGAGGAAGAUCUUCACCAUCUAAUUAAGUCCAUUCCUGUUGAAGCUUGCAUGCUCUAAUAACUCUGCAUAUUCUUCUUUUGGUUUAGGAAGGCAUGGAUGUUUAUUAGUACCAUUAGUACCUACUUCCAUGUCCCUGCAAACACAUUAUAAAGAAUCGAUAUGAAUCAGAUAUUAAUGAUUCAGUCAUAGAUUAAUUUCAUAAUCGACUACUACGAUUUGAGAUUGAGUACUACUCACAUCAAAUGCAACAAGAUAUUUUCAGUAGUUGGUAUUUGUGGUAAGCACAGUACUGCUGGAGCCACACUCACUUUCCAUUAGUGAAACUGAGGAUCUAUCAAGCUUGAUAUUAUACCAAGGGUACUGGUAAUUUUGAGCAGUGGAACCUACAUGUGAAGAUGACCUCUGCAUCUUCACAGCCCUUGGGAUAUGAUUCCUUCCUUCCAUUGAUGUCCUUCGUGGUCGGCUUGGUUGCCUCUCAAAUGCAUCUGGAGGUCUUUGCUUUGGCGCACUCUGUGAUCUGGCUUUGGCCUUUGAAGAUUGUGUAUUGGCCAUGUAAUUUGGGUACAGUGAGUAGUCAUAGGACAACUGUGCUGCAUAAUCUGGCCUAGGAAAAGCAAAAGGAACUCUUGAUGGAUCUGGUCUGGACAUUGCAGAGUAGCACUGAGGGCUGCUUUGUGCUGUUCCAAAGGAGAAGUCCUCAAAAUGGCCACUGCAGGCUCCUGGACUCAUCAUGUCCUGAGUCAGAGCUGAUGGAGCUGGUGAGACAUUGCUGUAGUUGUCUGGCUUUAUGUAUAAUUGAUGAUUUGGUGCAGACUGAGUCGACAAUCUAGAGUCUGGUCGAUCUGCUUGUGUGUGAUUCGAGUAGCUGUUUCUGCUCUUCACAUUUCCUUUUGAUUCCCCAACAUCCAUCUCCACAAUCUUAAUGUUCUCUUCCAUGCCUCUAUCAAAUUCCUAGAGUAACAUAACCACAUUGCAGACCGAAUAUUAGUGUGAUGAGAAACCUUUUCACUAUUUCGUUUGAACAAAACAACUCAAAGUAAACGAACACGAGGAUAAUGUGCUGUGAAUAAUCCUGAAUCACCUAAGAGAUUAAUGAGUUUCUGACAAAUAAACUGUUUGAGAAUAACAGGAAUGCAGGAAAAUCUUAGACUUUGGCAAAGGGUAUCAGACUUAGUAACUUACAUUAUGAGAAUGCCUGAGCCGAUUGUCCUGCAAAGACCUUCUGCCGGUGGAUGACCUAGGAUUAACAGUAUUUCCAUCUUCAACCAUCCUAAUCCUCUGAGCUCGAGCUCGAGCCUGUGCUGUCACCAAUGCCUGCAUGCAGCGCAGCGUGGCUUUUGCCUGUUUCCUCACCAGGUGACCCCUUACCAAUGCCUGCAACUUUACUAGUCCUUUCAAUGCACAUAAUGCUUUUCUUGCCUGCACCAUAACCAACAUAACAGUUUAAACGACAAAUCAUGUAAAAGAAACAUUGGAUACAAGACUUUUUCCAGAUUGUUAAGAACAUAGAUUGGACUUUCAUAUUCCGUACCAGAUAAGAACGGAAUACAGAUUGAAUUUUGAUGGCGGCCGCUUCUUCAAUGGCGGCAGCUUUCCCAUUGGCCGCUGCUGUCAGCCGCAUGACAGCAGCUGCAGCUUGUGCAGCAGCAGCAGUUGCAUCAGCAACUGCAGCAGUGGCUGCCGCCACAGCCAAGGCAUGUUUUUUCUGCUCAAAAUUAGCAGAAAAAUCCAAUGUGGUGUGCACAGGUGGCGGUGUGGUUGGUGUUUCUACAACACUUGAGUCCUUCGAAGCUGGGGAUGUGGCAGAUGACCUUCUGAAACUCCACCUCCUCUUCUCUUUUGGUGUUGAAAUUGGAGUAGUAGGAUUCUGGUCAUGAGUUGUAGCAGGUGAGCGAUUCUGAUUAGAGGUAGUAGUAGUGGUGGGACAUUUCUCCUUAUCCUUGUGAUCUUUGUCUUUCUUUCCAGCCAAGAAGCUUCUAAGCCAUUUGCCUGUUUUCCCCAUCACCUGUGCCUAAGUUCUAAGCUAGAUGCCACCACUGGAUCAUCAACAACAUGAAAAGAAGAAAGCAACAAAUGAUGAGUUAGAGGUGUUAGAUCUCUCUUCUUGUUAAGUUGCUUUCUGCAUUAUAACUGGCCCUCCCAGUUAGAUUACAUCUUAAAUUGCCAGCUAGCUAGUCUGGUCAUUAUUAUUUGAUCCUUCUCUGUUAUUUAACUUUCAUAUGUAACUUCCUGGACACUGAUAUCUUGUUGUGUGAAUUAUAUAAGUUAGGCAUUUGAUUCCUUGCCUUCACUUUAGCCUUGCAGCCACCCAGUUUUGCCCUUCUGGUACUUGUGAUUCUGAUGCAGGCAUCAAGGGUGGUUUGGUAAACCAUGGGAGUUGGGGGUUUAACAUGGAAUCUGGUGGAUCAGAAAGCAUGUGAAAAUGGGUCAAGAACAGGCAGCAUUGGUGUAGAAUACUCUAGCUAGGGGUCCCUUUUGGGGUUAUCUGAAUUUAGAAAUAGAGACAAAGCUUAUUCUGAAUUUAGAAAUAGAGACAAAGCUUAUUAGAAUGGGCGAUAUGGGAUCCCUAUACGAGUGUUUAAGGAAGGCUCAGGUUCUUCACGUGUUUAUCCUAUCCUUGAUGUUGGAGUUGAGUUGAGGCUAAGUUUUUUCACGAUUCAAAGAGAAGCUAUCUGUGAAAGUUAUCCUUGGUUUCUUGAUUGAUACCAAGACCCUCUACCAAGUAUGGUUUAGUAUUCUCGAAUAAUGCUUCAUGGAUUACUUCUAUAAAUGGUUCUUGAUAUUCAGAGACCAAGAAAGUAUGGUUUAAUGGCCUUUACGAUUCAUAGAGUAGUGCCUCCAUAUGAGAUAAGAGAGUCGGUGAAAGGGUUAAUUAGUUUAGUGAGAAUUGAUGGAUCAAGUUAUUACAAUGGAAUCAGAAACUAAAUUCCAGAGCUGUUUCUACAUCAAGUUAUUGUAUGAGGAAUCCAUAAAUCUUCAUUGGUUGAUGCAAGAGGUGUUUGUUAGAUCACAUUAUUGCAGGCAGCAGGACUGAAAUGUUUGAUCUUGGAGUAAAGGCGAAGAAUCAAAAUUAUUUUGCUUCUUUUCUAACUUUUCAAGAUAAUCUAUGACACUUUAUCUUAUGUGUAUGCGUUUUCGCUCUUUAGUAAAAGAAAGAGAUAACAUAUGUAUGUAGGAGGCCAUGUAUAAAUCAGAUUGGGCAAUUCUUCACUUCAUCAAACCUUAAACAUAGGUGACAAAAUGACAAUAGCUAGUUAAUUGACCAAAAAUAUCAGAAUUAUAGUUGACAUAUAUACGUAUUGGUAAAGUGUACCCACAACUCUAGCUAAUUUCUGUGUCACCUUGAUCAAUACGAAGUCAACUAAAAAUUUCAGUAUUAUCAAAACAAUUAUCUGCAAAUUUAGAUCCCAUAUUUAUUUGCAUGAUAUAACUCGACAAGAGCAAGUGCAUGCGCUAGGAUGUGAUGAAUCCACAGUCUACCACCAAUUCUGUUGCUAAUUAAAUAGACCAUGCAUGAAUGCAUACUCGAUAGAUUAUGCCUAUCAGAAUUAGUUUAGUCAUCACAACCAAUUCUUUUAUUUUUUUAUUUUUAGAUUUUGUGUGAAAUAGCAAGUCAUCUCGAUAUUAGUGUAACACACUCACCUAAUUACUAUUUCAGACCAAAAUUCACAAGAACAAGUCCAUCCAGCUUCUUAUGUAUUGAACAAAACAGGGUGGUAAAAUUGUGUUUUUGUCUCCAUCCAUCUUACCAAUUUACACAAGAAUGUCUCGGGAGUAAAUUGCAUUAUUAUUCAACUCUAUAUAUGUACACAUAGAUAUAUAUAAUGGAAUCAUAGAGGUGGCAACCACAUGGUAUGUGUUUAUAUGCUCCCCUUUGACUAGGUGUUUGCUUCAUGGAAACACUCUUCACACUAUACUAUUCUCAUAUAUCCUUCAAAUAAUUAAACAUCUAAUUCUAUAGAUUAGUCGACACAAUCGGCCUGUAAUCCCUCUUACUCUUACCAAGAUCCUAUUCAAUUAUUCAUUAAUUCCUCAUAAAAAAACAAAAUUUGUAAAGCUGUGUCAAUUUUAAAAUACAUUUGAUAGGGAAACUUUGGAUAUAUUCAAGAAUAAUAUACAUAGAAAAUUUAUGAAUUUUAUGGGUGUGGGUUUGAAUACAGUUUGGACUAUUGAUUUAGCAAGAUCUAUUAGGUAGGGCCAUCAAUGAUAUCCAUGUUUCUCUAGUUUAAAUUUUUUGAAUCUUUCAUGCAUGCAUCCACUUGAAACUUGAAGUUAAGCAUGUGAAGAACAGUAGUGCAUAUAAAUGUAUAUGUAUAGUUGUAUACAUCCCUCAAAAGACAUUCUGUGAUUCAAGCAAGAUUAACUUUUUGUACUUUAGGCUGAUAAAACUAUACUCACAUUGCUUGCAUUGUAACAAUAAGAUAACAAUGAUAAUUUGCUCAAUGAAGUGCUCACCACAUGGGACAAAUUAAUUAAAAAGAAAUUAAGAUUGUGAAAUGUGAAUGCUUUCUUGAAGAUUAUUAGAGAGCUCUUGAAUAUAUAAUUGAUCUUGUUGUGUUUGUAUGUGACUAAGCUUCUUCCUUAAGCACAUGCUAUAAGGUGGUUGUACAUAUAUACAUAGUUGCUACAAGUGAAAUGGUAUCUUGAUUAUUGCUGUCUUAGUUUGGUUUCUUCCUCAAGUUGAAUGCAGCAAAUUACAUAAUGAUUCGAUUAAAAUCUGUUAUUGUUCUUUUUUUUCCUUUUUUUUUUUUGAAAAGUAUUUGUUAUAGUUCAUUGCUGAGCGCACAAAGCCACAAAAUCAAUUAAUUAAGGUAUAUGAUCAGUACUGGAGCUAAUAGAUUAAAGCAUGAAGGUGGCUAGCUGAGAUUUCAGGGACUCGAGAAGAACUAUUUAUGUGAAAUUUCCAAUCCAAAAAAGUUCGGCUUGACUUGAGUCAAGGGGGCACUUUAUUUACGACUAAGCAAUUUUGUCCAAAAAUAUAUAGACAAAUAUAUACAUAUACACCCUUAUUUUCAAAGCUUAAUUAAUAUACUAGAUCUAGAGAUCUAAAUAUCUAAUGGAAGAGGCAGUUGUGCUUAGCACCUUUGGUCACGAAGGAAUAUUAUCGUGAGAUUUGACAGUUUAGUCAAAGGUAUUUUUCACUUGAUAUACAUGGUUGUCAUGUUGUGGAUCAUGUAGGGUUUACUGGAUUACUGGAUUGGACAUGAGUUAACAAGCUAGCUAAGGCCUUAAUUAGGGGCCUGUUUAGAAGUUCGUAAUUUUGUUCCAGAGGCCGAAUGGUACUCAAAUCUACGUUUGCCAAAAACUCAAAAUGAUCUUAUCGAUCUAUGUGUAUAUAUAUAUACAGACUUUCUCAGGUGCAGAUGUCCGCAUUUAUUCUUACAGUGCGGAUUUCCACUUUACACUCACUUUUCAAUCGAAUUUUCGCAUCUCCACCGUCUAGUCUUUAGAUACUAAUGUAUAGAUCAUCUCUACAAAAUUUCAGCCAAUUUAGUUAUCAUUAAGGCACUCAACUCGAUUAAACCAAUGGAUGAACAUAAUUCUGUCGAACUUGAACCGUUCAUGUUUAUAACAGAAAAACGCAGUUUUGAGUGUCUUAAUCAUAACCAAAUUGGCUGAAAUUUUGCAGAGAUGAUCUAUACAAUAGUAUCUAAAUACUAGACGGUGGAGAUGUGAAAAUUCGAUUGAAAAGUGAGUGUAAAGUGGAAAUCCGCACCGUAAGAAUANNNNNNNNNNNNNNNNNNNNACGUACGUACGUACUAUAUAUAUAUAUAUAUAUAUAUAUAUAUAUAUAUAUAUAUAUAUAUAUAUAUCCUUUUCAGAUACAGACUUCCUUAUUUAUUCAAAAGGUACGGAUUUCCUUAAUUGACAUACUUUUCGAUCAUAUUUUCUCAUCUCAACCAUUCAUCUUUUAGGUAUAUAUGAGUAGAUCAUCUUUACAAAAUUUUAGCCAAAUUGAUAAUCAUUAAGGUAUUCAAAAUUGUGAAUUACAUGAACGGUUCCUGUCGAACAGAUCAUAUUUUCUCAUCCUUUAAAUCCUUUAGAUCAUCUUAACCAUUCACACUUUUAGAUCAUAUGUUGGUACGGAAUUAAGGUCUAUACGUAACAAAUAACUUUCUGAUCUCUAUAUUUAUCUAAAAUUUGAGUACGUGACCAUAAAGAGCCUUCUGAGUAUUGUCAUGACCGAGUCCGUAGGUUUAGGGUUUAAAUAUAUGAUCAUUCACGUACGUAUGUGCUUAGCUAGCUCCCCAGCUGAAUAUAGUGAGCGAGCUAGCUAGUGAUCACUAAUACCAGCUGGGUUGGUUUCGUCAUAUCUAUCUUCAUCUUUUUUUGGGUAAUAAUAUCUAUCUUCAUCUACAAGACUACAAGAGGGAUCAGCCCAUGCAUUUUAUUUUCUUCGGGCUUUUCCAAGUACAUCAUAUAUGACUUCUAAUAAUUCCUGUAUGACGAAAAGAAAAGAAAACUUUAAAGACGUCGAUCUGCAAACCGCAGAUACAUAUAUAGACGUACUAGUUAGCUAGUAGAUGCAUGAUCCGUUAUCUGUUCUUGUGUAUUAUUACAAGGAAGAGCAGCCAGCUAGCUAGCUUAUCCAAAUUCAAAUACUUAAUAGGAAUCCAUGGCCUUUGUUCUGGAAAAUCUAUUCACUACUGGUGUAUCGUUGCCAGAAUACAUUAUUGCCACAUAGUUAGGAGGAGGAAGAUCAAGGAAGAGGAGGGAGGAGGAGGAGGAGGAGGAGGAAGAGCAUGGUUAUAAUUUAGGAGCUAAUUAAAUUAGUAGAAUGGUAGAACAAGUAUUCGAUAGUUUCAACAGUUAUAAUUUUACAAAAAAAAAACACUCGAUUACUUGUAUGAUCAUUUCCAUAUAAAUAAAAAAUCCUAAUCCACAUGUUUACAUAUUUUAGACCAAAUUGGUAUUUGAAAUACUUGCUUUAUUCUUAAUUUUUGAAACGUUAAAAUUCUUAUUGUUGCUUGCUUCAAUCCAAAAAUGCAUGUAUAAAACGUACAACAUAACAUGUACAAAACCCAACUUCCAACUACCCACGUCAAAACCCAACUUCCAACUACCCACGUCAUAGCAAAUCUUAACUAGUACUUCGGAGCAUUCCCCUUGAAAGUUAAUAUCUCAUCCACAGGUCGUCCAAUUUUAAAUCACAGGCAACUACCUCACCGCCCUUCCUUCCAUUCUCUCCAACUCAUAUUUCCAGCUAUAGCUUCUGUUCUUCCUCGUCUUAUUAGUAUAGCAAAGUUUGAGACUUGAAGCAUAUGGCUUUCCCCUUUAUCUGUGUUUUACUUGCCAUGUUUCUUCCUCUUGAAUCAGUCUCUGCCGAGUCAUUAGGCAACAUAUUCGCUCCUGUUUUUUCUCCAAUCAUGGGUUUGUUUCCUUCUCAUUCUUUCUUUUCUGCUUGUAAAUUAUUGGGCUUUCUAUGAAUUUUGUUCUUAUCCCACUAUCUGACGCUUUGGUCAUUUGGAUUGGCGGGUUCUGAUCACAGAUGAUGUCUGCAAAGACAUAGAAUGUGGUAAAGGGACUUGCAAGCCUUCAAGCAGUAGCACUUUCUUUUUCGAAUGUCAAUGUGAUUCUGGGUGGAAGCAGACUACUGAGAACAGCACUGAUCACUUUAAGUUUCUACCUUGUGUGAUUCCCAAUUGUAAGGCUUCUACAUCUUUCUCUUUCCAUAAUUCAGAAACAAGUAGAUAAUGGACUAUAUCUAGUAACAUCAGUCGAGUAUAUCUUCCUAACCUUUUUUUUUUUUCUGCGAGUGUUUGUUAUUAUUCUACAAAGCUCUAGCAGAUGCAACAAAAAUCUUGAUACUUUUUAGUGUUGGUUUCUUGGUUUAGUACUUUGGUUGACGUCAGUACUCUUUGGUGGUCAUUGGUAACUGGUUAGGGGUAAGGGGGUAAGGGAGUUUUGGUGUUGGUAUAUUGGUAACUAGAGUAAGUAACGAGGAGUGAAAUAUAAACAGCAGAACAACUUACAUUUUGGGUAAAAUUGAAGUAUAUAUCUAACCAUGACAAAUCGCUAUUUGUUCAUAAAAAAUGCCAAUUUAAUUUACUUGCUAGUGCAUGACUGCAUUUUAGUCACACAGUCAUCUUAUGUUACUUUAUGAGAUGUGCAUACACUUCUAAAUGCAAAGCUUUGAUUUUGAUAUCUUUACCGACAAGUCAAAAGAUCUCAACUAUAAUUUUCCUUGAACUUUGAUAUUCUACGCAUAAGUCAAACAUUUUGAUUAUGUUACAUGAUUUCCAACCAAUAUCAUGAUUCUGAGGUUGCUGAUAUAUUGUUGUGGAUUUUUAUAGGUAAUCUGGAUUAUUCCUGUGAAAAAGCACCAGCCCCAGUUCCAGAUAAAUCAAACAAGGCGAACACAUCAAUCUUUGAUCAUAUUGACUCUUAUACUCGGAGUGUUUUUUCUCCUUUUCCUACAUAAGCUUAUUUAUUAUAUAUUAUUGGUUGUAUAGCUUGCUAUUGGAUGGAUUGUGGAGGUGGAACUUGCAACAAGACAUCAAAAUUGUCAUACAAUUGUGAAUGUGGAGAAGGUUAUUAUAAUCUGCUCAAUAUGACUACCCUCCCUUGCCUUAAAGAAUGUAAGAGCACAUAAACUUGAAAGUUUUUAAAUGCUUUUAAUGAUGAUGAAUGAGUAUGCAGAAAUGCAGAUGAGAAUGUCUGACUGUUUCACACUUUAUAUUUAAGGUUCAAUUGGAGUCGAUUGUGCAAACCUUGGGAUUUCGGUGUCUAAUAAAUCUACUAGUCCUCCAACACCUGCAUUGGCUGAUAGUGGUAAGGAUUGUUGUGAAGAAAAGAAACUAACUGUACUGUUAAGUGUAAGGGGGAAAACGUUUGGCACUUCUGUUUUUAAUUUAGCUUCUGUCUUAAUAGAAUUAUAUGAGCUAACUUCUGUCUUUUACCUAUCAAUCUAUCAUAAAAUAUUUAAGAUGGAAACUUACUUAUUGAAAGCAGUACAAAUAACCCACUUUUAGGAGCUGAUUUUUCUCAUAAAUUUCGGUUGAAUGCUACUCCCAACAGCUAUAUUAAUGGGAUUGAAGUAUCUGUUUGAAUUAUUCAUAUUGACUGUGUCAUGCUGAAUCCAUUUUUUCUGCCUUUUUUUUUUUCUGAUGUACAGGUCGCUUGAUAACACAUGUAAACUCAAUUACAUUGGUGACCCUAACAAUGUUGGUUCUUAUGCUUCAUGGGAUAUGGAACUAGUCAGGUUAGUUAGCUAAGUAACCACACAUGUUUAGUGAGGUGUUCAUCUCAAUUUCUCUUCAUUCAUAUAGAUAGGUUGAGGAGUUGGAUUUUGUUUUUUUAUAUAACUAAGACCUACUGCCUAGUCGAAGAUAUAGCUUCAUUUCGAGCUUGGAUUUUGUACUUCUUUUCAAGAUGUAGGUUCAUUGGCACUUUUGAGACAUUUUGAACUCCCGUAGAAAAUGAAGAUGACAGUGCAUUAUAAAAGGGAUAAAAGGGAUCCAUAUAAAAGCUUCUUGUAAUCUCUAUGUAUAUAGACUAUAGUUCAUGAGACCAAAUAAUAUUGGUGUACUGAAUAGCUUGUAUAAAAAGUACAGAAUAACUUGUAUAAAAAGAAACAUAAUAACUUGUAUAAAAAAAAAACUUGCAGUCUUCAACCCUACAUACUGACUAGUCAAUAAGAUUGCAUACCUAUGAGAAGAAGAAAAAUAGUAUGAUGAAGGGAUUUAUACCCUUUUACAUGUAUUUGGCCUCCUUUCAGUCAGACUCAGAAUCAUAAUCUUCGAUAGAAUCCCCAUCUUCGAUAAAAUCAAAUCGCCUUGUCUCUGAACCCUUUUCAGAGGAUAACUCAGAAUCCACUUCUUCGAUAAAAUCAACUUGACAUAUCUUUGAACCCUUUUCAAAGGAUAAAAAUUUUCUCCUCUGCAUCACCAAUACAGAAACGACUUGGAGAAGAAACAAUCACCUUUGUAGAACUUCACCAUAGCUUAACAAAUACUUUGCCACGUUAAUCUCAUUCGGUGUUCCUUUGAAUCCCUUUAUGGAGAUAGUCUUGAGCUGUGAAGACAAACAAGAGGGCACAAACUCCGGUGGUUGGAAGGAAUGUCCUAUCUUUGCAAAGUCUAUGACAACAGAUUCUAGACUAGGCGAUGUGUUAAACACCUCCCAUUUCCUGUAAGUAGGCACAAACUCUGGUGGUUGGAAGGAAUCUCCUCCUAUCUCUGCAAAGUCCAAGACAAGAGAUUCUAGAUUAGGCGAUAUGUUAAGAACCUCAUCUAGCCAUUUCCAGCAGGGCCGUUCAUAAAAAACCAGCUCUAGCUUGAUCAAUUUACUAAAAGCUUGGGGCAAACAAGGUUCAGGUUCAAAAUUAGGAGCAGAAAUGGUCAUAUAUCUGACGCUAGAAAUUCUGUCGAAUAACUCAGCAACAAGGUCAGCCGAAGUUUCAUGGAACUCUUGCAGUUGAACUUUGGCUUGAACUAAGGAGUUUGAGUUCUCCCAAAUAUACUUUGACAGAACCUCUCCCUUAACACAAAGGUUUUCAAGUUUUGGGGCAUUGAUAAAGAAAUUGCAUGGUUCUUUCCUCGACUCUUCUUCUCCAGCGGCCUCUUCUUCAGAAUCUGAAUCACAUUCAUGUUCUUCAUAACCUUCUUGUGUAAUGAUGCUGGUUAGUGUCCUCAAUUCAGGUGCAGAGAUAUUAAAAUUUAAAACACGUUUCUUAUGAUGUGCUUCUAUAGUCAACUCUUCGAGUACAGGGCAGCUGCGGAAAAGAUUUUCCCCGGAGGCACGGUCGGAAUCAUAACCAGAAAUAUAAUGAAGGAACUUGAGAUUUGGGAAACAACAACCUGUCUUAGGAAGAGAAUAAUAUGUAAGAUAAUCUGACUUCACCUUCAAAGACACCAGUGAUUUGCAGGUAUAAACACAUCGAGGCAUUUCGAAAGGAUACACAUAGCUAGGUCCAUCACAACAUUCCACACAAAAUUCAACAUCAAGCUCAACAACAUUAGCCUCGACGGCGACCUGUAUCCAUCGAUCAAUAAUAGAGAAAUCUUCACAACACGCCCAGGCAACCCGAAAUCUUGUGAUGUCUUUUGAGGAGUCGCGUAAGGCCAACACCCGAUCAACGAACCUGACGAAAAUGCGAUAGUUACUCCAUGAUGAACGGAAAUCAUACAUGUUGAAAUCAAGGUUGGUAAUACAACCAGUCCACAAGUUGUUCCAUCUCUUAGACAAAACGGUGGUCCGGACAGAAUAUAACGGGAUAAGGGAAGAGAGUAUGUGACAGAGAAUCUCAUCCGGUAGUGCACUGAUCCUGUCAACUUCCACAGCUUGGAGUUGUGAUAUUGGAUCUUCAUGUGCAAGUUUGAGAUCUCCACUUUUCUUCAUUCCGCCUGAGUAUGAGUGUGUGACGAUCUUCUAGGGUUUUGGUUUUGGUGUUGGCUCAAAUAAAUCUAUUCCUGAUGUAAUUGCACCCAUACCUAGUAUAUAUAAGAGUUUAAGACCUUCCUAUUUAAAUUAGGUUUCCUUAUUUGAGUAAGGGUCCUGCUUUCCUGGACUCGUAAGGAUAUUGGAUCAAGAUUCUUCUUCCUAAUUUGACGAUAAAUUAUAGUUUGCGUUUCUAUGUGUGUUCUUCAUGCAUGUCAGCAGCGUUCAUUGUUUAUGUUUAUUAAAUAUUGGCUUUAAUUGAUAAAUAUCAAAAACCCAAAUGGCCCAGUGUGUGUGUUAUCACGUGGGCAUUGUUGUCUUAUGUUAACUAGGUUUUAUAUAUAUAUGUUGCUCCCGCCAUGUAUUCAGGCCCAGACUUGAGAUUUUGAGGCCUAAGUCGAACUUCUAGAAUUGGGUCCCUAAUUUUUUUUUUAUAUAUAUAUAAAAUAGCAUAUAACAUCCAAAAAUAUAUAGGAUUUUUAUGCAAAAUAUUUAUUAUGCAAAUAAGAUUCCAAAACCUUAAUGGUUUAGUAAUCCUAAUUGUAUUAUAAAUCCAAUCUAUACAACAAUAUCUUACCUAAUCGUGUUUGGCUACUUCUAUUUAAUAUUUUAACUUUUUUUUACGGGUACAAAUUUAAAGUAGUAAAUAGUAAUUGAUGGUUUGGUCCCCUCAUCAUAUGUAAUUGUCUUUGUUUUAGGAUAGUUGUCUUUAAUUCAUGUCAGAUUGCAUAGCCAAAAAACUAUUAAUUUUUUUUUUUAAGACAACUAAUAUUUUUGGGCCCUUCAAAUUUUUGGGCCCUGAGUCCCAAGCCUCUUGUGCCUUUAUUCAAAUCCGGGCCUGCAUGUAUUGGUGGGUGAGGAAUUUGUAAUCAAACCUAGGUUGUUCUCUAUCAUCAACAGGGAACAAUAGUAUUUAGGGUUUGGGUUGUUUGAGAGUUUAUUAAAAGCUCUAUUGUACUUCCUCUAAUUGUUAUAGUAGAAAUUUUUCGUCGGCACUGAAAGUGGACGGAGCCCAAUCACAUUGAUUGGGUUAACCACUAUAAAUUAUGUGUCAUUGUUUAUCUUUUCUCUUAUUUGUUCCAUUUAAUAUUCGGUUUGUUUGCGCUUCCGCAUAACAAACUGAUUUUGUGAUUAUUGUUCUCAAAGCGUAAGUAUGGAGGAGUUAGAUUUUGUGAUACUAAGAAAAAAGAAAUAUGUGUUUUUUUGUAAAAAGAAAAAAAAAUUAAAAAAGUUGUGCGGCAAAAGGAAAUAGAAGAAAAGUACAAAGUUUUGAUCUCAUUUCGAAAGUGAAAAAGGAAAUUGUUUACAAGUGAAGACCGGAAGGCAAAAUUUGGAAAUCUACCUCUACGAAUCAGAAGAGUUAGACAGGGAGACGAGCACAAAACGAACUAGAUGAUGAGCCUUAUACAGAUAGAAAGCUACGGAAGUCUUCUUUCUAUAGCUUUUUCCAGUAUGUAAAUUAGGGUUUCAAUUUUGUACAUGCUGGAACUUUGUCUUGAGUUAGGGUUUAUGAAUUUCAUGACCAACUCUUGAUGUGUUGAAAUAGGCAGUUGUUAGAUUAUCCUCUUAAUCACAAUUUCAACCAUUUUUGUCACAUUACACUAGUAGACAAAAAGGCUUAAGCAACAAGUACUUUCACAUUUCGUCGCUUAAACAACUCCUAAGCGACGAAAACAGAUAUCGUCGCUGAAGAUAAAUUUUUCGUCGCUAAAAUUUUCUGGGGCGACAAAAAUUUUCUAAGCUUCGUCGCCACAGGUCCUACUAAGGCGACAAAAUUCUUUUGUCGCAAAUUAUUUAUGUAGCGACGAAAAAGUUAACACUUAAGCGACAAAUAAGUUUGUCACAUUACAUCCUUAACCUAACCGACAAAUUUACAUUUCGUCGUUUUAGUUUUAGUUUAAAGCGACGGAACUUUUGGCUCUUGAGCGACGAAAUUGUUUGUCGCAUUAUAUCCUUAACCUAACCGACAAAUUUACAUUUUGUCGCUUUAGUUUUAGUCUAAAGCGACUGAACUUUUGGCUCUUGAGCGACGAAAUUUUUGUCGCAUUAUAUCCUUCACCUAACCGACGAAUUGACUUUCGUCGUUUGAAUUUAAGACUAAAGCGACGGAACUUUAUUUUGUAGCGACGAAAGUGCUUGUCGCAUAAUAUCAUUAACCUAAGCGACAAAAUUUUUGACUUGCUUAAAUGAAAUCUUCUUUAUAUCCAAGUGUACAUCUUUGUGAACCAACUAUAUAUAGGAAGCAAUAUUUUCAAAAACCUUGUGAAAUAGGAUGUGAUCGGUAUGAUGAAAUACAGCUUUGGUUGAAAAAUCAUAUAUUUUCGAUAAUGUUUGGUCCUCGAUAUAAGCGGUCAACCCUAUUUACGCUUAUGUUUCCCUAUGGGAAGUCUUAUCGUCGGGAGCUGAACGUCCCUAAAUUUUUACAUAAGUGGUUAGAUCUCAUCAAUGUGUGAGUUUUGUGUGUGGAAGAAUCAACCAAACUAGGCCAUAUAAAGGUAUGUAAGAGCGUUUUUGUGUAAUAAGUGGUUUUGGUUUAGGUUUGACCGUGUGGAUCGAGACCCAAACUUUAUCGAAAACAUGUGAAUUUUUUUUCAUAGCCGUAUUUAAGUAUAUUGAUCAUAUCAUACAGUUAAAUUUUCAUUUUUUGAAAUUUAGUCAUCAGAACCGCAACGUGAGAGUGUACAUCUUUGUGAACCAACUAUAUAUAGGAAGCAAUAUUUAGAUUUCCAGAAAGUCUACUUUUCUUUGAUUUCUCUUAUAUUAAUGGUAGACAUUUCUUAUGAAAAAAGUAGUUGUGUCUUAUAUUAAAUGUAGACUUUUCAUCUUUUACCUUGGUUUGCUUCAAUCUCAAGAACAAUUUUGAUUUCCAGAAAGUCUACUUUUCUUUGAUUUCUCUUAUGUUAAUGGUAGACAUUUCUUAUGAAAAAAGUAGUUGUCUUAUGUUAAAUGUAGACUUUUCAUCUUUUACCUUCCAUUAUUGAUUCAAUCUCAAGAACAAUUUAGAUUUCCAGAAAGUCUACUUUUCUUUGAUUUCUCUUAUGUUAAUGGUAGACAUUUAUAAUGAAAAUAGUAGAGGUGUCUUAUGUUAAAUGUAGACUAUGUAUCUUUUACCUUGGGUUGCUUCAAUCUCAAGAACAAUUUAGAUUUCCAGAAAGUCUACUUUUCUUUGUUUUCUCUUAUGUUAAUGGUAGCCAUUUCUUUUAGAAAAAAAGUUGUUGUGUCUUAUGUUACAUGUAGACUUUGCUAUUUUUUACCUUGGUUAAUUUGCUUCAAUCUCAAGAACAAUUUUAAUUUUACCANNNNNNNNNNNNNNNNNNNNCAACUUUCACUUUCCAUUAUUGAUUCAAUCUCAAGACAAUUUUGAUUUCCAGAAAGUCUACUUUUUUGUGAUUUUGCUUAUCUAAAUGGUAGACAUUUCUUAUGAAAAUAGUGGUUGUGUCUUAUGUUAAAUGUAAACUUUGCAACUUUGCAACUUUCACUUAUAAUUAUUGAUUCAAUCUCAAGAACAAUUUUGAUUUCCAGAAAGUCUACUUUUCUUUGAUUUCUCUGAUGUUAAUGGUAGCCAUUUUUUAUGAAAAAUGUAGUUGUGUCUUAUGUUAAAUGUAAACUUUGCAACUUUUGCCUUCAUUGAGUUUAUUCUCAAGAGAGCAUACAAGAGGCAUUAGUUUCUUGCAACGAGAUCAAUUUUAGUAAAAAAUUGACAUAUCGAUGAGACAAGAGAGAGAGAUCGACGAGACAAAAGUAGUUCAAAUUAGUUUGUAGUAGUAGAGAGAGAGAGAGAAAGAGAGAGAAAGAGAGAGAAACUAACCCCGUUAGUGAGAGAGUGAGAGUUAGUUUGAGAUUUAAAUUGGAUGAUCAGUCAAACAGGUAGCAGGUCAUCAUUAAUCUAGUUGGACCAAUCAUAAGUAACCAUGUGGUUAAGGUAUCCAUACCUUAAGGCACACAAGUAUUUGCCAAAAAAUAUUCCACAGAAUAUUCUUAUUUUUUAAGCUAAAUUUGGCUAAGAAUUUAGCCUACCAUAGAAGAUGCUCUUAGCACUAUAGCCCCUCGAAACCCAUUUUUUAUCUAACAUAGCCUCCCAUUAGAGUUGGUUUUAUUCAAAAUUUAGGCUAUAUCAAGUCAUUAGCCCUUCAUUAGAGAUGGCCUUACGAACCCUAAAGGCCCUGAACCAUUCUACAAUGGAAUAAAUAUACAUAAACUCUAAAGCCAAAUAUGAUCCCCAUCACAUCCCAUCAUAUUAUAUCGUUGAAUCUCUUUCAGACUCGAUCAUUAGCCUCGCCUCCCCCUGAAGCGGCGGCGUACGUACGGCCCCCUCCCCGUCCCAUUAAGGUGCCCUGUAUCACACUGCAGGUAGAGUACUCAGUACUGUAGAGAAAGACUGACAUGCAGGCCCUUAAAUUUCAUGGCACUCAAAUCAUUCGAAUCGAAUUCAACUUAGCUAUCAUGUUCUUCGAAUGUCGUUAGUGAAUUAUUGACUGCUUUAACUCCAUCUCUCUCGCUUCACCAACUUGGCCAUCUCUCUGUGUCUGUUUGCUUUUUUCCGUUCAAGUUUUUGGUUUCCCGUACCUCGCAGGUCAUGCGCUAAAUUUCCGUUCUUCUUUCUGGUUUCGUUCGUUUCCUUCCCAUCGUGUGUCUCUUCUUUUCAGGCAACCCUUUGGUAUUAUGGCAACCAAACCCUAGUUGGUUUUCUCAGUUUUUGCUUUAGGGUUAAUGCUGUAACAGUGAAAGCUAUGACUUCAUUCACUCACUGCUCUAUAGCCUUUGGAAACUGGAUCACUAGUAUCUAUCUACACCACACUGGCUGUCAUGUCCAUGCUAAUUUGCUACUGUAUCGAUCAUUGUCAAUCAAUUCAGAGUCCUCGUCUGUCAUCGGAAUAUGAAAUGCGAGAUCUAGGCCUGCAUUUCCGUUUCAGCCAUUAAUAUUCAGAAUUUUGAUCCUUUCAUUUACUCUAGAAAUAAAUAAGCGAGGCAUCACCCUAAUUUCUAUGUCAUGAGUCAAUUUCCUGCCUAUUGACCAUUCUCUGUGUUAAAUAUCAUGAUUCAUGAGUCAUAGAAGCAAUCUAGUCUUAUCCAUGUGGACUACUCCAUAUAUACCAUGAUAGCAAAGUCAAUUAGCUUCUUAAUUAUAAUGCUGUUAGAAUCAUGGAGUAUAUAGGGAUGUAAUUAUGGGUUGAAAUCACCUGUGCCGAAAAAAUCCAAUGUCAAACCUGUGCCGCUUCUCACAUAAUGACACGUGUCUUACAAUUUAACGGGACACAAUUUUAUUAACUUUUCUUAUUAUUAAUUUUAUCUUUCAAUAAAGAGAGAAAAAAAAACGCUAAAGAGGUUGACUUUGCUUCUUCCUCCUCUCUUCAUAUUUGUAAUCUUCUUCUUUUUCUUCUUUCUCUCUUCUCUCUACAACAAACCCAGAAUAUUCAUUCCUCUGCAUCCCUCUGUAACAAACCAAGAAUAUUUCGUUCCAUACCCUACAACCAACUGGUGUUUCAUAUUUUGUUCAAAUUCCACAAGGACCCACCAAUUUCUUUCUUACUAAUAUUCAUUCCUCUAAAUCAACUGGUAAUCAAUAUUGUAGAUGACACUAAUCAUAAGAAAGGAGAGUAAAUUAAAAUUCUUUUACUUGAAUAUCAGAUGCGAGAUGUGACGGAUAACCCAUCAGCUAUAACCCACCUCAAACUAAAUCCAACCAAAAAUCUGGUUUCCCACAUGCUAUUUGAAUCCCAAAGCCACUGUCUUGUUCAUCGCAGAGAGUCGGGGUCUGCAUUAAAAGAAAUAUCCUUAACAUGUAUGGAUCUAAUUUACAGGUCUGCAGUGGAAUAAAGGAAGGGAAGAAUGUAGAAGAAAGAGGAUAGAUUGUUAAUUUUCUUUUGUCUCUUACAUUUUGAUCUGGACAUCUAAAAAGAAAGAAUAGAUCUGGAAACAGGUGUUCUGGGGAAAACACGAACAGCUAAUUUUUUUUUUUUUAGUUGUAAUUGUCAUUUUCAAUUUUAGUAACGGAGUUGUGCCCUGUUAAAGUUGAAGACAUGUGUUUAAGAGGCGGCGCAGGUUCAACUCAACAUAGGGUUUUUGGACCCAUGUAACUAUGUGUAAGGUUAAUGAUUCCUCAUUUUGAUUAGCAGAUUAAUUGGUUUGUGUGGGUGACUAGUCGACGGAGUUAUUCUAUAUGCGUGCUGGGACACCAAGGCAUAUUCCAUGUCUUUUGACCGAUGACUUAUCACCCUUACUUACGAAAACUUGAGUAGACCAAUUCUAUAUGGUUUUUUCGGUUCAUAAGACCUGGUUUCGUUCGCCGGAAAAGAAAGUUAAUCACCUGUUGGUAGAACCUUAAUGCCAGUAUUAUAACUUGUACGUUUGAGAGAUUCGGUAUCAACAAUUCAAACCACCGUAUUUAAAGAGGCCAAAAGUUAAGAAAUAAAUCAAGCAUUCAAACACAAACGAUUGUCAUUACUAAUUAAACUCACGAUAGACUAGUUUUAGUAUUCGACUCUAGACACUCAUGACAUGGGCCAAGAUGGCCAUGAUAACAUGAUAGAACACUCACCAAUUUUCUUCUAAACAGGUUGAAUUAGGGCUGCCACUCGGUCGGUUGGAAUCGGUAAUGGGCGUUACCAACUUCAAAACCAAAACUUUCGGUAAUGAAAUAUGACUUUCAAUUACCAAACCAAAAACUUCGGUAUGAGAUAAAUCUUACCAACUUCGGAUGUCGGUUUUUCGGUAUUACCAAAUUUCACAACAAAUAUAUUUUCAAAAUAUAACAAAACAAUACAAAACUAUAAAAUUUAAAUAUCACUUGAGUUUCUAGAGUCUGAUAAUACAUAUACAAAAGAUAGUUUCAGUACACAUUAUCGAGUAUGGUUUAAUUUUCUACCGAAAUAGUCAAGAUGUAAAUGUUUCCAAAUUUUUAUAUGAACAAGUUAUGUGUCAUCUAUGUGAAAGUAUGUGUGUGGAAGAGUCGACCAAAAUAAGUCACAUAAGGGCAGUAAAAGCUUUUUCAUGUAAUAAGUGACGUUAAAUUAUGGUUGACCGCUUUGAUUAAGACCCGAGCAUUAUUGAGUACAAUUGAAUUUUCUAUCAUAAUUGUAUUAUACUAUAAUGAUCACAUCAGACGGUCGAAUUUUAAUUUUGUGAAUUGUAAUCAUUGGAACCACAACAUGCCUGGUAAUGUGGUAUAACUUAUUUAGUAAGUUAUAUGCAUAUGUACAUCUUUGUGAACCAACUACAGAGAGGAAGCAAAAUUUUCAAAAACCUUGUGAACUAUGAUGUGAUCAAUAUAGUGAAAUACGACUAUGGUAGAAAAAUUAGGUAUUUUUAUAAUUUUUUGGCCUUGAUCAAGGCGGCUAACCCUAUUUACGUUUGUGCUUCCUAUGGGGAGCCCUAUCAUCAAGAGAGGUAAAAACAUUCCUAAAUUUUUACAUGGGCGGUUACAUGUCAUCUAAGUGGGUUUGUCUAUGUGUGUGUGUGAUGAAUCGACUAAAACGGGUAGGUAAGAGCGUUUUUAUAUAACAAGUAACAUUGAAUUAAAGUUGAUCGCUUUAAUUGAGACCCGAAUGCUACCAAGUAUAGUUGAAUUUUUCUAUUCAUUGUCUUGUUUUUUACUAAAUGGUAUAUACAAUUGAAAACGUGAGAUAAGAUUAUUAAUCUGUGUGUUUUUAGAAAUAUAAGUCUUUAAAUAAUUAGAAUUUCGGUAAAUUCGGUAUUUACCAAAAACCAAACCAACUUUUUCGAUAUUUCUCAGUUUCGGUUUUUUUUAUUUCGAUUACCAAAAUUCGGUUUACCAUAUCAUAAAUUUUCGGUCAGUUUUCGAUCGGUUUGGUAUUUACCAAACCAAGUGGCAGCCCUAAGUUGAAUACAUAAUUGCUGGGGCAACUUGGUAAUGAAUAUGUCAAUUGUCAUAUCUCUCAUGGAGUCAUAACACAUUAGACCUCUCCUCCCAUGCCCAACUCAGAAGUCGCAACGUGAUAUAUGCGCAGAUAGAUGGAUAUACAUAUAUAUUGAAUUAAGCUUUGGACUAGCAGCAUCAGAAGGUGAGCGCGCUUGGUGGUGAUAAUCAAAGAUUCCAAUGAUCCUGAAGUUGAAAGUUCUAGGGAAAUCACAAUAUUUUUGAAUGGAUGUUUAGUUCACUAUCUCAUAUAUAGGACUCCCUGUCAUCCACACAAAGAGCUUUCUAAGUUGGUGGUGGGUUUUAAUGUUCCAUAAAAUCAUCUCCUUCCUUGGUUAUGGUUCUGUCCCAUCUCAUCAUCACGUCUAAAUAACAGAUCGAAAAUUAUCUUAACUUUAACGAUUAGUGUGUGUGUGUAUAUAUGUAUAUAUGUAUUCUAGUAAGUGGUCUUCAUAACUUUAGCAAAUUGGUUUUAUAAGGUUAAUAGCUCCAUUAUAAUGUUAUUCAAGACAUCUUUUUUAAAACUGUAAUUUAAACUGAGAGUGCAAUUCUGUUACCGUAAUUGAAACAUUAGCAAGUAAUAAAAAUAUGGGCCAAUUACAUAUAAGUCUAUUUUGAGACAUUUUUUUUCUAUAUAGGUCCACCCAAACAUUUUUACCCAUAUAAGUCCACCUAAGUCUAAAUAGAGUUUAUAUUAGGUAUUGAAGUUAAACAAAAUUACAGACUGCCAUCUAACCAAAAAAUUAAAAUAUCUCUUAUAUUUACAAAAAUACCACUAGAGUAAAAAGUCAACAAUCACUCUCUUUCUUGAAAAAGUCUCCGGCCAACCUCCAGCGAGGUCUCCAGCCGAUCGCCGACGAAUUUUCCGACCGACCUCCGGUGAGAAUUCUGGUGACCACAAAAGCUACUACAAACGACGAUUAAAAAUAUUACAAACAGCAAUAAAAACUACUACCACCAGCAAAGAAAACUACUACCAUUGACAACAAAAGCUACUACAGCCAUAAACAAAAGUUACUACCACGAGCAACAAAAGUUACUACCAUUAGCAACAAAAGAUACUACCGCCAGCAACAAAAGCUACUACCACAAGCAACAAAAGAUACUACCACAAGCAACAAAAGAUACUAACACUUACAACAAAAGAUACUUCCACCAGCAACAAAAUCUACUACCAUUGACAACGAAAGCUACUACCACAAAGAAAAAAACAAUACUACCAUCACCAAUGAAAGCUACUACAGUUACCAACAAAAACUACUACCGUUAAACAAAAUAAUAGCUACUGUUACCGAGGAUAAAAUCUACUAUCAAAUAGAACAAAAGCUACUAACAAGUAAAACAAAAUCUACUAUCAAAGGUUGAGAAAGAUACUAACAUAGAAAUUGAAAAAUACUAUGAUCCUAGAUACAAAAUACUAUCAUAGUGUUGGAAAGAUACUAAUACAGACAUUAAAAGAUACUAUCACUUCAAUAAAAAUAUACUGACAUUAUUUAUUGUCCAUACAGAUCACUAUGUAGAGGUGCAAUAGUAGUAGCUCUCAGACCAACUCCUCCUUCUCCAUUGACUAAAGCCAUGUGAAGCCUCUCUGCCAUAGACUUCAAAUCGGAGAUCGACAUCGGAGAGACGACUCCAAAUCACAGAUCGACGUCGGAGAGGAAAUCAAAAUCGAAGAUCGACGUUUAGAGAGAGACGACUCCAAAUCGGAUUUGACGACGUCGACUCCGGAGAUGGCGACGAUCCUCGCCGGGAAAAGCGAGCAGCGCAUGUUGUGCACUGAGCUCGUGACCUCCAUGUUGGUUCCAAUCUGAAAUUGAGAUGAGUUAGCAAAUGAUCGAGGUGUGGUGCUCGAAGGCAGAGAAGAGCAGCAAACGAGGAUGAGGUCGCCAGAGAUGGUAGAGGCGAGGAUGAGGUUGCCGGCGGAGGAGAGAGAGAGAGAGAGAGAGAGAGAGAGAGAGAGAGAGAGAGAGAGAGAGAGUAG
rnacentral:lncRNA from 1 species